rnacentral:lncRNA from 1 species
AGCUAAAUAUGCUAACAAAAGCAAAACAUACAUAUAAUCCCUCUCAUGAACACCGCACUAAUUAACUAAAGUUGUGUGAUAAACGAAACAAACUUAUUGAUCAGCUCUACAGCUUUUUCACAUUUAAGAUUGUCGAAAUAGAAGCUAUGCCCUUCGCCGUGAGUCUCAAAAAGCUCCACCGUUCCUUUCCACCCACUUUUCUUCAAGUCUUCGUAGUAAUUCAUAGCCACAGGUUUCAAAAAAUCUUUCUCGGCCACAAAUAUCAAAACCCUCUCACACCCAAGCCUGGCCAGAUCCUCUGCGGGCAUUUCAGCCGAGGAUCCUGCAACUCCCCGUUUGUUGGACACAUGUACAACCUCAUCUCAUCUUCUUCAGGACUAGUGCCACCGAAAAAUGGAUGCACCAUAAUAACCCAAACCAACUUUACACGGGGUAACCCGAUUGACCCGACCGGAAACGCCAGAGUGUGUGCAAUAUUCCCUCCAGCACUGCCUCCUCCAAUGAAAACUCUCCUAAAAUCAGUGUGAUCAUUCAACCAGGGCUCGGGUCCAUUUCCACCAGCAUGGGACGCCACCCAGUUGAGUGUAGCCCACGAGUCUUCGUAACAAGCGAGUAUGGGUCGAUCCGGGAAGAGCUUGUAUUCCACGGACACCACUAUAGCGUUAGCUUGUGCAGAAACGACACUACAGAAAUUAUGAUACAGCGGACCAAAGGCGGACCGCCUGCAGAAUCCGCCGCCAUGCAAGUAGAAUAAGAGAGGGAGGCACAAUUGUACUUUUUUUUUUUUUAAUUUGGGAAGGAAAUUUCUGUUGAACAUGUGAAAAGUGAAAACAAUGGGAGACACAAUUGUACUUUUUUAGACAAAAUCUCAUGGUAAGCCACACACCCGUAGUAAAAUACUAUGUAAUGAAAAAAAAAAUGAAUUUAAAUACUUUAUAUAAGUUGCAAACUGGAAUCAGAUAUUGGAAUUUAUAUUUCCGGAUUUCGAUUGAACGACUCUCUAUAACUCUUCAAUUAUUGAAAUGUUAAUCAGUUAAUUAUGUUCUGUCAAUACCAAUUCAAUCACAAGUAUGGCGACAUGAAAAAUAAUAAAACAAUCACAAUUGACAAUUAGUAUUUGCUUUCAAUACUAUUUCUGGGGGAACCAUUAUUUUGCUUGAUGAAGGAGAUGAAUUUAUUGGUCAACUCCAAAGCAUUUGUACAUGUAGGGUUUCUCAAAUAAAAGACAUGCUUCUCAUCGAGAUGCUCAACGAGCUCCACUCUCCCUUUCCAUCCACUUUUCUUCAACUCCUCGUAGUAAUUUUUCCCAGCGGGACACAAGUAGUCUCUCUCAGCCACAAAUAUCAAAACCCUCUCACACCCAAGCCUAGCCAGAUCCUCUGCGGGCGGUUUCAUCCUAGGAUCCUGCGGCCCAUCAUUACUUGCACACAUGUACAACCACAUCUCAUCGUCCUCCGUACCGCCAAAAAAUGGGUGUACCAUCGUCACCCCAACCAAGUUCACACCGGGUAGCCCGAUUGAUCCGACCCGGAACGCCAGAGUGUGUGCGAUGUUCCCUCCUGCACUGUCCCCACCAAUGAAAACUCUCCCAAGAUCAGCAUGAUGAUUCAACCAUGGGUCAGGUCGGUUUCCGCUAACAUGGGAGGCCACCCACUUGAGUGCAGCCCACGAGUCUUCGUAACAAGCGGGUAUGGGUCGAUCCGGGAAGAGUCCGUACUCCACGGAUACGACUAUGGCAUUCGCUUGAGAAGAAACGGUGUUACAGAAAUCAUGAUAGGGCUUCGCAAAGGCGGAUAACGUGCAGAAUCCACCGCCAUGCAUGUAGAGUAAGAGAGGGAACUUUUGUUUAUCAGAGUUUGUUACUUUAGGAAUGAAAAUACGGGCGGAUACCGUUGGUUGAGAUGAAAUAACAACAUCUUUGGAUCGGACGCAGCUGAUGGGGUCGGAAGAACUCGAGGCAGCCGUCAUUGUAAACCCGGAAAAAUGGGAACUCUUUGAUAAUUUCUUUAGGGCUUGAACUUGAUGCCGUUAAAGAAUACUGAGUAAAACAAUAAGUAAAAAUAAUAAAGAAAAGAAAAAGGAGUGGUCCCGCGCACUAUUUUGAAACUGGCAUAACGUUUUAUAAUUGGAAAAUGUUAAAUAUGAAGAAGAAUGAGAGAAAACUGAGAAAAUGAAGUAUGUGCUGAGAGAAGAGAGAGAGAGAAAAAGCCGACAGAAGAGAGAGAGAUGAAAUAAAAAAACAGCCAGUAGUUUCUCUUAGUAAGAGAGAGAGUAUGCAUGCAGCUUUCUUCUGAGGUAGAGUAGAGGAUGGCAAACUUGUUUCCCAGGGACUAAACUCUGCUUGUAAUUCGAAGCUUUCAAUCUUUUAUAAUUCACAAUUGCUGUGAAAUGGAUCAGUCACAAACGGCAGCAAUGAAUGACGAAUUCCAUCAAAUAAUGUUCUUACUAAGUUGUGUGUUGUGUUUGUAGAGUUUAAUUGAGGUACAGACAUACUCUAAUAAUAUGCCAUUUUUGUGCAUAUUUAUUUAGUUUGGUAUCAUCACUUGUUUUCACAUUUGUUCGUAUUGUAUAAUCAUACUGUAUUUUAUUAACAAGUUGUUUCUUUCAUAAAUUAAAAUGCCUUAUAAACAUAUUCAUAGUUCCUCUUUACAUUUUAUUUUAGGUUUGUUUUCUUUUUUAACACCAGUUUUCUUUUAAGUCAAUAGCAACUCAAUUUUCUCUCUAUUUAUGUGAGCGGAGUUUGAACUCUAAAUAUUUUAUUUUUAAUACGAGAGAUUUUAUUAAUAACCUUAACAUAUGCAUUACAUCAAGUUCAAGCCUACGAGUAAAUCCUUCCUGUUGCAGUGCCCGUAACAGGAAGGAUUUUAUUAAUAACCUUAACCCAAAAUAUACUAACAAAAGCAAAACAUACAUAUAAUCCCUCUCAUGAACACCGCACUAAUUAACUAAAGUUGUGUGACAAACGAAACAAACUUAUUGAUCAGCUCUACAGCUUUUUCACAUUUAAGAUUGUCGAAAUAGAAGCUAUGCCCUUCGCCGUGAGUCUCAAAAAGCUCCACCGUUCCUUUCCACCCACUUUUCUUCAAGUCUUCGUAGUAAUUCAUAGCCACAGGUUUCAAAAAAUCUUUCUCAGCCACAAAUAUCAAAACCCUCUCACACCCAAGCCUAGCCAGAUCCUCUGCGGGCGGUUUCAGCCGAGGAUCCUGAAACCCUGCGUUUGUUGGACACAUGUACAACCAGGUCGCAUCUUCUUCAGGACUAGUGCCACCGAAAAAUGGAUGCACCAUGAUCACCCCAACCAAUUUUACACAAGGUAACCCGAUUGUCCCGACCCGAAACGCCAGUGUGUGUGCAAUAUUCCCUCCAGCGCUGGCUCCUCCAAUCAAAACUUUCCCAAAAUCAGCGUGAUCAUUCAACCAUGGCUCGGGUCCAUUUCCGCUGACAUGGGACGCCACCCAGUUGAGUGCAGCCCACGAGUCUUCGUAACAAGCGGGUAUGGGUCGAUCCGGGAAAUUCCCAUAUUCCACGGACACCACUAUAGCAUUAGCUUGUGCAGAAAAGACGCUACAGAAAUUAUGAUACCGCGGACCAAAGGCGGACUGCCUGCAGAAUCCGCCGCCACGCAAGUAGAAUAAGAGAGGGAGCUUAUUCUGGUUAGGGUUUUGGGCUUCAUACGGAAUGAAGAUACGAGCAGACACGGGUGGUUCGGACGAAAUAACAACGUCUUUGGAUCGGACGCCGGUGGUGGAGUCAUCGGAGGGUUGGAUUUUUUCGCAGUCGGGUUCGAAUAACUCAACCCGGCCGUCUUUGUAAACCCGGAAGAAUCGGAAUUCUUUUGCAAUUUCCGAGUCGCUUGAUGCCAUGUUUUUAAUUUGAAGCUUCGGUUUGAAAUAUAAUAAUAAAAGAGAAGAAGGGUUCUUUGUGUUUGUGCUGUUUGGUGAAAGAGGGAGAGCCAUCAAACGCUUUAUAAUAUGGGAACGUACGUAGCUACCUAACUUUCAAAGCAUCUUCUCGCCCUACGUGGCUACCUAACUUUCACAGCAUCUUCUCGCUCAUAAGUAUCUGUUUCUUUGACAGUUAUUUUUUCUUUCUUUCAUACCUUUUUCUUAUCAGUAAAUAGUUACGAUGCACGAAUUGACGUUGAUAUUCCUUUUUUUCACACCUUUUUCUUGUCAGUAAAUAUUUACGAUACGCGAAUUGACGUUGAUAUUCCUUUUUUUCAUACCUUUUUCUUAUCAGUAAAUACUUACGAUGCACGAAUUGACGUUGAUAUUCCUUUUUUUCAUUCCUUUUUCUUGUCAGUAAAUAUUUACGAUACACGAAUUGACGUUGAUAUUCCAAUUAUAGAUACGGCCAUACGGGUCCGCCUAAGUUACAGUUAAUCUAAUUUACAGCUGCCCUGUAAAUGAUGUUAUGAUAUAUAUAUUUUUAUUUUGAAAAACUAACAUGUAAAUGGUAAUUAUAUUAAAUUUAAUUAUACAUAUUAUACAUGUAUUAGUUGAUUGUAUUAUCUCUAAUAUAUUCUAGAAUUCUUCCCAACAUUAAUAAGAUUAUUCGAAGGAUUAAUGAAUUAGAAGGAUUAGAAUUUAGUAUUCGACUGCGUUUUUAUUUGAACACUGAAUUAAUAGUUAGGAUUAUUUUUAUUUUUUUCUCUUGUCUAACGGUUUUUACUCUCUUAUUUCUUUUUUCAAUUUGUCUUUAUUUUAUUGGGGUUAGAAACUCAUUCUUUUUUAUUUUUCACACACUAAAAUCACCGGCAGUGGAUCCACCUCAUAACCAGUGGUGGUUUAAACCCCCACUAGAGAAAAUAAUUUCAAAAAAUUAAAAAAAUUACUUGAGUUACUAAUUAUCCCUGUUAAAUUUAUAAAAGUAGCCCCAUAAACUUAUAAGCCCAUAUAAUUUAAGGAUAAAGAUCAUUUCAUGGUAUGAACAUAUUUGAACAUUGAAGAAUCUUUUAACAUUUAUACAUUGUUAUUUGAGUGAUGAUACAGUCACAAACUCUUGUACAAAUUUAUCUUAUACAAACUGAUUUGUCAUUAAUUAAUUAGUUAAAUGAAAAUACAAAAUAAUAAAAAUAGAACAUGUGGGUCAAGAGAUAUUUAAUUCAACCAAUUUUAUCAUGUCACAUCAGUUUGUACAAAAUAAAUUUGUACAAGAGUUUGUCGCUAUAUUAUUAUUCUUUAUUGUUAAAAAAAAUCAUAUUUUUAAAAAUAAUUUUUUCUUUACUUUUCAAAAUUUAUUGUAGGAUAAAGUAAUUUUACCAAAAGAGAUUUUUAAACAAAAUUCACUAAACAGAAAAUAAUUUUAAUUUUUUAAAAUUACUUUUAAGUUUUAAAAGCAUUCUGAAAUGUUAAAUUGAGACCUUAGGCAUAAAACCAAGAAAAAAAAAAACUCUUACGAAAGGCUGACGAACAAAAUAUUUUAACUUUAAAUGAGUAGAAAACAUAAGAAAAGGUAAACAUGUAUCACGGGUGCUAUACGACAGCUCUUUCUACCAAGGCUGUAUCGGGUAAAAUGACCCUACUUCUUUUAAUUAUUAUUUAAUAUUUUUAAUAAUAAAGAAAAAGACAUCAUAAAUAAGGGUCCAGCUAUAGUACUACAAUAAUAUCAUACCACAGCUGAAUUCAUAAUAGUAUUACAUUAUGUGCUGAAUCCAAUGACUGAAUGGUAUGGUAGCCAUAAUUUUGCCCCAAAAAUAAUUGUUGGCCCCGCCAAUUACUUCUUUACAAGACGACAAGAAGACUUGUCUCUAUCAAAGCAAUACUCCUUUUAUUAUUUAAUAUUUUAAUAAUAAAAGUUUAUAAUUAAUUUAGAACUGAUCUAAAAUACAUUACAAUUUUAAUCAUAUAAUUAUAAAAGAAUGUUAUCCAACAUCACUAGAUCCCAUUAAUAAUUAUUGGCCUAACACUAUAAAAGCCAAUUGCUUUUUUGAGGAAAUCGAUUAUCAAACACUCAGUUUGUACGGAGCUCCUCAUGGGUCCGCCUGAGUUACAUUUAAUGUAACUUACCGGCAGCUUGUGAAAUUUUAUCUAACCCCCUAUACUCUAUUAUAAUUUUAUUUUAUUCAUAAAUAUUAUAAACUUUUUGAAUUAUAAAUUUUUGUUUAACUCUUUAUACUCAAUUUUAUUUUAUUAAAAUCUUAGAGUAUGAAUUCGCCCCCAUAAUUUUAAAUUCUCAAAAUAACCUCCAUUUAAUUAAAAAAUAUAAUAAUUAUUAAAUGAAUUAUAAUAAUUAUUAUUAUUUUAUUAUAAUCAUAAAUAUAAUUAUAUUUUUAAAAUGGAUUAUUGUUAUUAUUAAUAACAAUAAUAAAAAGCAUUAUAAUUAAUUAAUCUAUUAACAAUAAUUAAUGAUAAUUAUUAUUAAUAAUUAAUUUUUGAAUACUAAUAACAAUAAUAAUAAUAAUUAAAAUAAAAAUUAAUACUUAUGAUAAAAAUUAAUUAAAGAUUUUAUGACAAUUGGUUUACAAUUUAAUUUAUUCUGAUUUUGACUCUAAAAAAAAUAAACAAAUAAAUGGUAAUACAACUCAUUCUAAUUACGAUUUCUUCAACUUAAGUAAAUAAAUUAUAAUGUUAUUCUGUUUAUUUAUUUAUUUUUCUCUGAAGUGUUUUCUAGAGAGAGAGAGAGAGAGUGUGUGUGUGUGUAGAUUUUUUUAACUUUUGAAAAUAGUCACAUUUUGUAAAAUCUUAUGAUAGGAUAAGAUGUAGAUCAAUUUUAACUCGAUGAAAAUAUAUUGUCUGUUAGAAAAAAAUAAAUUAAAAAUAAAUAUUGGAGAAAAUAUAUUAUUAAGUGAAUAAUAAUAAUAAUAAUUUUAAUUUUAAUUUAUUUACUUAAACUGAAGAAAUCGUAAUUAGAAUGAGCUGUAUUACAAUUUAUGUGUUUAUUUUGUCUUAGAAUCAAAAUCAGAAUGAGUUAAAUUGUAACCAAUUACUAUAAAAUCAUUAAUUAAUUUUUAUCAUAAUUAUUAUUUUGUAUUUUAAUUAUUGCUAUUGUUAUUAUUAUUCAAAAAUUAAUUAUUAAUAAUAAUUAUCAUUAAUUAUUAUUAUUAUUAUUAAUUUAAUAAAAAAUAUUAUUAAUUAAUGUCAAUAGGUUAACUAAUUAUAAUUCUUUUUAUUAUUGUUAUUAAUAAUAAUAAUAAUCUAUUUUAAAAAUAUAAUUAUAUUUAUGAUUAUAAUAAAAUAAUAAUUAUAAUAUAAUUCAUUUAACAAUAAAUAUAUUUUUUAAUUAAAUAUAGGUUACUUUGAGAAUUUAAAAUUAUGGGGGCGAAUUCAUACUCUAGGGUUUUAAUAAAAUAAAAUUGAGUAUAACGUGUUAAAUGAAAGUUUAUAAUUCAAAAAGUUUAUAAUAUUUAUUAAUAAAAUAUAAAUAACAUAAAGUAUAGGGAGUUAGCUAACAUUUCACAGACCCACUGGAAGUUACAUUAAAUGUUACAUUUUACGAACAAAAUUUUUUAAAUUUUAAAUGAGUAGAAAACAGAAGAAAAGGUAAACGUGCAUCACGUGUGCUGUACGGCAGCUCUUUCUACCACGGCUUUAUUGUACCUCUUCUGAUUAUUAUUUAAUAUUUUUAAUAAUAAAGAAGACUUGUCUCUAUCAAGGCAAUGCUCUUUUUAUUAUUUAAUAUUUUAAUAACAAAAGGCCAUGAUCAUUUUGGAACUGAUCUAAAAUAUAUUAUAAUUUUUAUUAUGUAAUUAUGGAAGAAUAUUUUCAACAUCACUGGACUCCACAAAUAAUAAUUGGCUUAAGACUAUAAAAGCCAAUUAGUUUUUCAGGCUAUAGAUUGCUCACUCAAUACUCAUGAUGCCAAUGCAUUAUUGCUUGUCAUUCUAGGCUUGUUUGUGUCUUUGGAAAAUUUUCAUUCCAGCCUGUCCACCCACUAGGUUGCCAUGAAGUAAUAAUAAAUAUAAUAAGUUAUUAUUAAAAAACAAAAAAAUCAGUUUGUACGGAGCUUCUCACAUAAUGCUCUUUACUUCUCAGCUUCCUCUGCGGAUCACAUCGUAGGCCACCCACCCUACCAACCUAUCGAGAGUCGAGACCUGUGCUUUUAGUUUUGUUUCCCAUGACCUCAACAAGGAGAAUCGCCUCUGUCAACUACUAGGUAAUUUUAUCAGUAUUUAAGUCUUGGGUUUAAAAAAUUAAAAAAUAAAAAAAUUAAAAAAAAAAGAUAAAUAAUUUUAAAUUUCAUAAGCAAUGGGCCCACUAUUUAAAUUAUUAUUAUUAGCAGCAGCAGCAACUCUGUAAGGGUAAAGCUACUGAUCUGAGUUUCAUUUUGGAUUCAUCGAGCUCAAUUUUCUGAAUUUUGUUAGCUAAAAUUUUCAAAUUCUCUGAAUUCCCUUGUGAAGCAACCAAGUUCGCUUGGCCAGCAGCCUCUUGAAGCAGCACGCCGUAAUCAAGCUUUCAAAUUUGCUUCAACUUUCACAACUAUCCUUUGUCCUUUCAUUUUUUUUUUAAUCUAUUUUAAAAAGAGAUUAUUAGUUUUCCACCUUUGAAAUCGAUAUAUACUACUUAUCCUCUAUUGUUUUUAUAAUAUCUAAUAAAUAUUUGAUACUAAAUUUUUUUUUUAAAAAAGAAGACAUAAUAUCCAAUAAUCUCAUGACACUAAAAAUUUAAAAGAAAAGAGAGGAAUAAAUAAGUUAUUUAUUUGAUAUUUGAUCUUAGAAAUAAAAAAAAUACAUUUAUUAAAAUAAUUUUUUUUCAAAUUAACAAAAAGCACAACAAAAUUAUCUCAAAAAGCACAACAAAAUUAUCUUACUAUUAAUUUUUUAUUUACCUAAGAUUUAUAUUUCUUAUUUUUAGUAUUUAUUUUUUAUUUUAAAUUUAAUCAUACAAAUUAUUUAAUUUAUAAUAAAUAUAAAUAUAAAUAUCUUCAAAAAUAAUGGCAAUAAUAUAAAGGGAGAAUGCUAAGGUACAGUCUGUGUACCUUACAGCACCCUCACAAAAUGAUCGUGGGCUCCACGUCGGCUCACUUUUCAUUUUACUGUGCAAGCGUGGCUGUAAGGUGCAGAACCUGUAAGUUAGCCUCCCUCCAACAUAAAGUAGUGGUGCUAGGAAUUAUUGAAUAUUACAAUAAUAAUAACAAAAAUAAAUAAUAUACACUGAUUUUAAGUGGAGUGGAGGAAAUUUACCGUCACCCUUUUCAAUUAACAUUACAUCUGGGAUUAUUUUUUGUCACCCCAUAAGAAUCGAUAAAUAUUACCAAGUAUCCUAAUUUUUCGACAACUAUUACUGCACACCGAUUCUGUUAAAAAUUACCAUUAACCUUAGUGAUUUUAUCAGAUAUAUAUUGAAACCACCAUAAUACCUCCACAUAAAUUGAAUUGACUAUAAAUACUGAAAUUAUAAGAAUAUAUUAAUUGGCAGUUGACACUUUAUUUUCUUCAAAAAAAAUAAUUAUAGAAUGUGUAAAAAUAAUGUUAAUUGUAAACUGAAAUAAUUAAAAUUAAAUUAAAGUUUAUUUUUUUGAAGAAAUUAUAUUAAAACCCAGGAGACAUCUCCAACGCCAAGCUUCAGCAUCAUGGCAUUUCCCAGUAUUUAUAGCGAUAACCAAAUAUAUGCUUUGAAAGCAACAAAAACAACAACAUAAACUUCCAAUUUCAUAGCACAAUCAAAAUAAUUUAUUAUAUCAAACAAAUUGUCAAUUACCUAAACCUAAAAAUUAAUAAACAAUAGCAUGGAAAACCCUAAAAUUUUAAAAUUGGGAUUUUAUAGUUGUUAGUCACCAUUGUUGGUGCCGCAUCUGUCAGGGUAGUGCAAUUGGUUAUGUGACUCUUGUGACGUCGAUGGAAGGAAAAAGUGAAAACCCUUGUUGUGGAGCAUGAAUGGAGAAGAGAAGAAAAUGAGCAUUUGUUGCCGAGUAUAAACGGGGGAGAGAAGAUGGAGCGUGAAUGGAGUCAUGGAGAAGGAAGAGAAAAAAUAAUUUUUUCCCUUUUUUCUUUAUUCAUCCGUUUAACUUUACUAUUCUACCAUUAUAGCAGUUAAGUUAAUGGUGAUCGCUAAUGGAAUAAGUGCGCAGCCAUAGUUAUUGAAAGAUUAAAGUGUACAGUAAUAUUUGUCGAUUCUUAAGUUGAUUCUUAGGGGGGGAUGGCGAAAAAUAACCCUCACACUUGGCUCGUUGGUAACCAAAAUGAUUUGACAUUUUCCACAACACAUCAAAUCAAACUUUUCUGGCGUGAUGUCGCACAGAUGAUGCGGUCCUCCUUGUAAGAGCCUCUUACUAGAACUAAUAAUAUUUGCCUUGCCAUCUACUCCUUAAAAGUAUACAAAAUAUUUUCUAGGGAAAAACCUGAUUCAUCCUCGUAUAUGCAUAAUGUUAGGUUUAAAAUUAAAUAGAAGCACUCGAGAAAAAUUAUUUAAAGCUAGCAUAUACCAAAAUGAAGAAUAUAAUUUUGAACCAACCUUUUUUUUUAUUUAAAGCUAGCAGAGGGAAAUUUUUAAAUUGGGAAAAAUAAAAUUUUUAGAUGAAAUUAAAAAAUGAUUCUCUAGAAAAGCUAGGACCUGCUUGGUUCCAAUUGUAAUUGCCUUUCCUUCUUCUUAGUUUUUAGAAUAUAAACUAUUUUUUUUAAAGAGACUCACACUAUCAUGGAUUUACUGGGCGCUCAUCCAUUGCUAUUAUCUUUUUCCCACUUUUCAUCUUUCUUCUUCCAUCAACAGUAAAUAUUUAUUAAUUUAAAUAAAUUAAAUCCAAUGUUUAUUUAACUGUGUUGCGCCUUUUGUAAUUUUCUACGCAUCUAUAUUUAUACAUAAAGAGAUAAAUUAAAUAACUGAUCACCAACUCCAAAUCUUAUCACACCUAUAUAUAUUUAUAAAAUUUUUCUAUGAUGCCGUAUAAAUUUUUAUGGUAUUGAUAAUAGGGUCACUUAUGGGCCCUUGAAUCUAGAUGUUUUAAUUUUCACCAUUUAUUUAAUUUAGUAAAUGAAUAACUAAUUACUUAAUAAUGAAUGGAUAAUAUUUGUGUUUAUGGAUAUAAGUUUAUAUUUUUUAUAAUUUGAUAAAUAUUUUCUAAUCGCCAACAAAAUUAAAUAUUCAAUAUGCAGAUAUACAAAUUAAUUUAUAUGUUUAAACAACGAAUAUGAAUUAUUUAAUAUUCAACAAUACAUGUUAAUUCAAAUCCUUUUUAUAAUUUAUAAUUAUAAAAAAUAUAAUUUUGAAUUCUUAGUUCUAUUUGUUGUCUAUUUUCCUUUUAAAUUGCUCAUUGUCUAAGAUUGAGUUAAUUAAUUGUUGUAAUAUUUAUUAAUCUAGCAACUUUUUUUUUUUGUUGUUGCUGAAGAAGAGAUAAUAAUAAUAGAAUAAAUUAAGAUUGAGUUGUGUUAAUAUUAAAAUACAUAAAAGGAAAUAUAGAAGUUUCAAUAAACUAUAGUUGUUUCUUUUUCAUUAAUCUUUAAAAAAUCUUUUAAAUAAUUGAAAUUAAAUAUUGUCCUAACUAAGUGGCCGUUCAUUUUUUUGACAUAAUGACUUAAUUGAUUUAAUUUUAAUCAGUUAGGUAAUUAAAUCUGUUUAUUUUUACAACUUAAUGAACAAUUUCAGCUAUUAAAUCAUUAAGUUAUUAACUAAUUUUUUUAGCCUUUUACUUAAUAUAAAAAGUCUAAAUGAUAUCAUUAAAAAAUAUUCUCUAAAAUAUCUCUAUCUUAUUAAUUAAUUUUCAUCCUUACCUAAAUAAAAUUUAAUAAUUAACAUUAUUACACAUCUUUUUAUAACUUGUGAUGAUUUAUGGUGGUACACUAUUAUUAUGUUUUAUCUUUUUAUUUUCUUCAAAUUAGCAUUAUUUAUUUUCAUAAUUGUUUUAUGAAAUUUUUCAUAUAAAAACAUCAAAACUAUAAUAAAAUCGAUUAACAUAUAUAAUAUAGAAUAUUAAAGAGUUUUAUUCAAUUGAAUAUGAUUCAGAUUAUGAUAAUUUAUUAUCUUAGUUAUAUUCUUUGAGAUGUUUAUUUUUUAACAUUUAUAAUUUAUAAGGGUAUAAAUGUAAAAAUAUUGAUUUUUAGAUUUUUAAGUUGAAAAAAUAAAAAAACUAAAUAUUUAUUUUCAGCGAUUCAGAUAAAAAAAUAAAUAUAUCAUUUAAAUUUAGACAUUCGGCUCUAUUCAUAAUUUAGAUUAAUUAAGGUCUAUUCAGAUUUCAGACAAAAAACAAGUGCCACCUAACUUUUAACUUUGUGAAUGGUAUAUUUAUUCAUACUACAAUUUUUAUAAGUGUAUCAUAGAGUGACCCACAUAACACAAACACACUCUACAUAUAUAUAGGACAUUGUUUGGUUGGCUACACGUGGUGUGCUCCAUCAUGUGUAGCUAGUUUUGCCCUUUGGAUUUACAUCCAAAUCCACUAGUGGCAGAUCUACUAGUGGCCGAUACUGGGCUACAAACAAAAAAUGAAAAUUCAAGUAUGCUAACUAAAUUUACGAAUAUGCCAUCACUGAUUGAUUAAAAGAGUACCAUUCAAUUUUUUUUAAAAAAAUUACUUAAUUCACUUUUUCUUUGCUUUUAUUGACAAUAAUACUAAAAGCCAAGAGUGAAAAAGAAUUGGUGGUUCCCUUCACGAUUUUUCAUCUUCUUCAUCUUUCAAUUUCUUUACCUUUAUAUCUUUUCCUAUCGAUACACUUUCAGUGUUCCUUCUAGUUUCUAUAGACACAAUAGGGUGUGUAUUUUUAGCCAUGAGCCUUAUCAAGAUAUCACUUUACAAGAAUACGGAAAAUGAGUUUCUUUUAAGUUGUAUAAUUAUUUAUGCUGAAAGAGAAAUUAUAUAUACUAUUGAUUCAGAUUCCAUAAUUAAUGAGUUUUGAAAAGUACAAGCCUUAGUAGUAUUUUUCUUUUGAAUUACAUUUUUAUUUUCUACUUUUUUAUAUAAUUAUUUUAUUUAAAGUAAAUAUUACCUGGGAUAAGGCUUCUAAUAUCCCUGUAUUUUAUACUUAUAUACUUAAGAAAUUUUAAGUGCGCUUCACAACAUUAUUUUUUUAAAAAUACAACAUCUUCCUUUCUCUCUUUACUACCAUAUAGGUCACAGUACAAAGGCCUCCCUAUAUUAUUAUUAUCUUUUUUCAGCUCAAUUUAAUAUUUCCUAUGGAUUCCUCAAACUCAAAGCCAGCAGCUGAAGUAGCCUAGGACGUGUCUCCCAUGUUUAAAAUAUACGAAGACGGCAGAGUAGAGAGGCUUAUAGGCAACAAGAUAGUUCCCCCAUCCUUUGAUCCAAAAACAAGCGUUGAUUCCAAAGACGUUGUGUAUUCACCUGAAAAUAAUCUAUCCGCCCGGCUUUACAUCCCCAAAAACACAAACAAUCCAAACCAUAAACUCCCUCUAGUGGUUUAUAUCUAUGGCGGAGGCUUUUGCAUCUAUUCUGCCUUUCAUCCAAUUUACCAUAAUUAUGUUAAUACCCUUGUCUCUGAAGCUAAGGUUAUUACAGUCUCCGUUGACCAUCGACGAGCUCCUGAGAAUCCUGUCCCUUGUGCUCAUGAAGAUUCAUGGGCUGCACUCAAAUGGGUUGCUUCCCAUGCUUAUGGACAAGGCCCUGAAGAUUGGCUUAACUAUUAUGCUGAUUUUGAGCGAGUUUUUAUUUAUGGGGACAGCGCUGGAGGUAAUAUAGCUCAUCACAUGGUGAUGAGACUCCCUCGAGAAAUUCUCGACGGUUUUAAUGUUGUUGGUAUUGUUUUAGCUCAUACUUAUUUUUGGGGAAAAGAACCUGUUGGUAAUGAGACAACUGAUGCCGAAACUAGAGCUUCCAUAGAGAAGAUGUGGUGAGCUGCUUGUCCUGGUACAAGUGGGUGCGAUGAUCCGCUAAUUAAUCCGUUCGUCGGUUCGAGUCUAGCGAACCUCGGGUGCAAAAGGGUGCAGGUUCAUGUUGUAGAGAAGGAUUUGAUGAGAGAUAGAGGAUGGUUUUAUUAUGAGAAGUUAAAGGAAAGUGGUUGAGGAGGUGAAGCGGAGAUCGUUGAGUCUAAAGGAGAGCCGCAUAUCUUCUAUUUGCUCAGUCCCACUUGUGACAGUGCUGUGGCUAUGAGGAAGAAGAUUGUCCUUCUUCAACGAGAUUUAGACAUGAAUUUCUUAUAUAGGUUGUUCAAAUAAGCUACCGCAAUUGAUCUGCUGGAAAUUACAGCACUUCCAAGGUUAUAACGUUUCUUUUUUUUUUUUUUUUUUUUCCCCUUUACCACGUGGAAGGAGAGGUAUUUUCCUAAAUUCACAUCUGUGAUAUAUAUUUCACACUUAGACUUUGAUUUGGUGUAUGUAUGAUAUGGUUGUAUUGUUGGUUAAAAAUUCUCAAAUUAAAUUGCUUCAAUCUCAAAUUUCAAGUCAAAAUUAUGAAAGAAUUGAUGUUAGCACUCAUGGUCUAUACGGAAUUAACAUAAAAAUCAAGUAUAAACUAAAACAAUAUUCAAACCUUUCUAAGAACUAUAUUCAUUGUAAAUCAAGUUCUUACCAUUGGCUUUUCAUAUUUAUAACAAAUAUUUUUUUUUGGAAAUUCUUAAUGGAUUUUUUUUUUAACUUAACAAUAAUUAAAACACAUACUAACUCCCACCCCCAAACUUAUUUUGAGCAUUGUCCUUAAUAUUUCAUAAUCUAAAGAUAUAAAUACAAAAAGGUGAAAGAGAUAAAGAAAUCAUGAAGAAUAAAACAAAAAGUUAGCGAGAUCACACUUGAGCUGGUUGCAAAAGCUUAAAAGAAGAUGACAAAGAACAAGAAAAUGUUAGAAAAUAAAAAUAUUAGGAAACAAAAAUAAACAAAAGUCCUUAGUAUCAUGCGAAAUAAACGAAAAUUUCUCAAAUAAUGACACUAACAAGUCCUCCAGGAUAAACAAGAAUUUGGUUAUAUACUUAGAGUGACUAUCAAGAAAACAAAAAACAAGACUAUUGAACCUCUUGAGCAUAUGAUCUAUGAAAGAAAAAUGCAAGUGACCUCGAUUUUACCAACCUUUUUCACAAUAGGGUUUGGAUUUGGUAUUAUCUCAAGCAUAUGGCUAAAACCAUUCUCAAAGUGAAUCAUAGGUGCAUAGAACGAGGGACUGCAGCUAUCCAACUUAUGGCUUCUUCAUGUUCAUUAAAAAUCAUUAAUUAAUUUACCAACAUGUUUAUUUUAUUUAGUUGCUAAAAUAACAAAGAAGUUUUCUGAAGAUACUUAAGACAGAGAAAUGGAUGACUCAAGUAAUGGUUUCAAGUCUAAUAACGGUCGUUUUUCUAUAGAUGGAGGAGGUAUAGACUUAGAGGGUGGAAGACAGUCUACUUUAGCUAUCCAUUUAUUAAGAUCCAUUAAUGAGGUAGACUCUGGUAUAGAAUUUACUUCACUAAUCAUAGUAUUCGCAUUUAUGUCGAUGCUAAAAUAAGUUGAAUAAUCUUUUACUAGUCAUCUUCAUUGAAAAGCAUAAAGGAAUUAUUGAUUGUACUCUCUAUUAGAUUGACAACUCCAUCAUCAUUAAAAUUCUCUAUAGUAUAAAGUUGUUUACUAACAAUAAACACAUUGAGUUCCAUAGUCAUAUUCCUAAAUGAAAUUCUUAUGACAUCAUUAUGACAAUUAUUAAGAAUUUGUUGUGGCUAAGAACGGUCAACCACUAAUAAGAAUUUGAGAACAUGGGUUCACUACAGGUUCAGUGUCAAGAACUAUGAAGUCGUCAUGAAAGUAGAAUUUAUCUACCUUGACAAGAACAUCCUCUAUAAUCCCUCUAAAAAUGUUGACAGAUUUAUCUAGGGAUGGCAAUGGGGAGGGGAGGGGAGGGGACCAAUCUCCCCGUACCCAUCCCCGAUAUUUUACGUAUGUCCCCGUCCCCUCCCCAUCCCCUCCCCGAAUAAUAACAGGGGAUCCCCGAGGGUCUCCGAUCCCCGAAUAACUAAUACAUUUUUUUGUUUUCAAUUUUGAGUUAAUCAUAUUAAAAUAAAAAAUUCAAAUAAAAGUAAAGUUUGAAAUAUAUCUUACAUUAAUAUCCAUUACAAAAGUCACAUACAUGAAAUUAGUAAGUAACGAUGCAUGCAAGGGAUACAAACUAUCAUGAACAAAUUAAUAGCCUAAUACAAAAUUGUUACAAAUAAAAUCAAUUUUAGAUUCAAAAUUAACUUUUCAAUGGUGGCGUUGGCACUUUAUAAAUGUGGACUAUUCCCUUUACAACACAAUAGUUAAGUCGAAGCAAAUCAAGAGUAAAUAUUAGAUUAGAUUAGAUAUUAAAAUUAUGAUUUGCUGUGGGCAAUUAUAACAUCUAAAAAUAAAUAAAAAAUAGAUUUAAGUUUAAAAGAUUUAAUGAAUAUUAAAAUUAAAACAAAAGUUUUGGGCUAAUAGAAUCUGUCCGGUCUUUUUAAUGUCCUAAAUAAAAAUUUAGGACUUUAAUUAGUUAAUUAGGCCUAAAAGUUUAAUAAUAUAAAUAUUUUGAUAUUUCUAUUUUUACCAAUACUUAUAAUUUUAUAAUUCAAAUUUUAUUAUUUAUUUACUAGUAAUUUUAAAAAAUAAAAAUUAAAUUAAAAAUUAAAAUGGGGAAAUGGGUAAGGGAUGGGGAUUCCACCUCAUCCCCGUCCCCUCCCCGAAUAAGAAAUUGGAUAAAAAAAUUUCCCCUCCCCUUCCCCGAAUAAGAAAUUGGGUAUGAAAUUAUCCUCAUACCCUCCCCGAAUAGGGAAAAUCCCCGAGGGUACCCAUCCCCGUGGGGAUUUUUGCCAUCCCUAGAUUUAUCUACUGAUUAGAGUGAUACAUGAGCGGGUUUCAAGUCUUUAAAUCCUAAUUUCUCAUAGAUAGAGUAUGGCAACAAGUUAACAAUGGCACUUAAAUCAAGUAAAGCUCUAUCAAAUGCAUGGUCUCUAAUAACACAAGAAAUUGAGAUAAACUAGGGUAUUUAUACUUAGUAGGAAUUUUGUUCAGGAGAAUGCUAUUAACCUUUUUAGUUAGGAAUGCCUUUUAUGGGACAUUGUUUUUCCUUUUUACUAUACAAAGAUCUUUUAAGAACUUAGCAUAAGCUGAUAAUCGUUGAAUAACAUCAAGCAAAGGGAUGUUUAUACGAACUUGCUUAAACAUUUCUAGAAUAUCAUUAUAAUGAGUAUCUUUCUCUUAUAGGACAAGUCUUUAUGGGUAAGGAGCUUUGAGAACAUAAGGCUUUGAUUGAAUUCCAUUCUCAUUAGGUUUACUAGGUAAUUGCUUUUCAAUUGAAGUUGGUUGACUUUCUUUCCAAUGCUCAAGAACUUUUAAAUAAUUAUCAAUUGUUUUUCCAAACCUAAGGGUAGUUAUAGAUUUGGCUUUCUUAUUAGGCAUAUUAGAAAUGGAUGAUGAUCUUAUUUCAAAUUGACUUUUAGGGUUAGGAAUUGGUUAACUAAGUAGUUUUUCUUUUUCCCUCUCAGCUACAGUAGUUGCUAAUGGACCCAAUUGAUUUUAAGCUUUAAAAUAACUUUAGUGUUUCAAUGUAAGGCUUAUUGGGUUGACUGAAUGAAAUUUUGAAGUGUAUCUCUAAAAAAUGUAUUCUUUGUGAAAUUCUAUUUAUGCAACUCAAGAGAGGAGAUGAAUUGGGUAACUAAAAAUUAUUCAAUUCUAAAACAAAACUCAAUGCAAAUCUAAAAUGAAUUUAAAGAAAUAACAGAUAAAUCAAUCACAAAAUAAAAAGAUAAGGGAAGAGAGAUUCAAACACGGAGAUUUUUACGUGGUUCGGCCAAACUCGCCUACGUCCACGCCUCCAAGCUUUCCAAGCUUGAGGAUUUCACUAAACAAGCCUCAAAGGCUUCAAAUGCUUACAAUUGACUUCCAAUGUGUAAAUGAACCUUUACAACAAGAGAUUGUCCUCAAUUUCUUAACCCAAGUGUAUCACAACACUUAUAAUCACUCAAAACAAAAAUUAUAAAUUUGUUCUGCACUCACAUAAUACUUAAGAUUACAAAUCAAUGCCCAAUGUGUGACUAAAUGAAGCAAAAAUGUGUUUAAAGUUUUAUGAAGGUUGUAUUCUCUAUUAUGAGUUCAAUGAUAGUGUUGUGAUCAACCUUUGUUUGAAUUUGAAUGAGUUUAUUUAUACUUGGAGCUGAAAAAUAGUUGUUACUGAUUGUCUGCUCGUAAACGGAUCGCUGUUAACCAUUAACGGUUAACCGUUUGGACUGGUCAAAGUUACCGUUGAGCCAAAUUUCAAAUAAACGGUUGACCGUUUAUCACUACCGUUUCACCGUUAAUUUUCAGAGACCUGCAAAACAAAUUUCUACUAUCCGUUCUUACUAAACGGUUAAAUAUUAGUAAGGAAAGACAUUCUAGAAUUUAUCGGUUAGCCGUUUGAAGUUAACGGUUCGCCAGUUAUUUCUAGUAACCUGCAAAACGAAAUAGCCUAAUCUGUUUCUGUUAAACAGUGAAAGAUUAGUACAAGCUUCCAUCCUGGAGUUUAUCGGUUAACUGUUUUCUAUAAAUGAUUCACCGUUUAAUUCUAGUAACCUUCCUAGCAUAUUUGUGUUUUCCAUUUUUGCUAUCCGGUUAGAGCUUAAGCAAUUGACCCUCUCUGGAUUUUAUCGAUUAACCGUUUACUUCCAGAAUCACAGUUUUAGCCAAAUAUUGCACGAAAUCAUUUUCCAUGUUGAAAUUUAAUAACUAUCCAUCUUUCAUGAAUGUAAUUGGAAUGAUUAUAUGGCUUUUGUUUAUUAAUGAAUAGCUCUAACAUUUUAAUAAAAAACAUUUAAAGUUUGUUAUCAUCAAAAUUAAUAUUAUGAAUAUAUACAUGUUAACACUUUGUUAGAGUGCAGUAAAUUGUUGAACAAGAGGAUAUGCUAGGUUAUAAGGGACAAAUUCUUUAUCGGGCAUGCUAAAUUGUUGUCCUCCUCUGUUUGAUAUAGUUUGAUUUUGUUUUUAGAAAAAAAUUAGGGUGAUUCCCUAAUUAGAAUUAUAUGUGGGUAAAUAUGGACUAUUAGAGGAUUUGUCAUAUAAUUGUAAUGCAUGUACUAGCUCAGAAUAAGCCUUUUGAUAGGCUGGUAAUGAAGGACAAUUCUAUGUCAUAUGAGAUAAGUUGGAACAAAUAGCACAAAUUUCAUUAGCUACACUAGGAUGAUGAUUCAUUGAUUGGUUUAUAGUUAAGACUUCGACUUUCUUGGAAAGAUUAGCUAGAGUGGCUUUCACAUCAAACUCAUUAUUAACUUCAUGUAGACCAUUGUCAUGACCCAACCUAGGCCUGGUAAGAUAUUGUCCGCUUUGGGCCUUAAUAAGGCCCGCACGGUUUUGUUCUUGGGGCGCCCAUACACCCCAAAAUGUGUCUUGCCAAUUAAGGUGUGAAUCGCCCCUUAUAAACUCAGCAUCUCUCUCGUGCUUUGUCGAUGUGAGAUUCGCCUAGAAUGUUACAACCAUUAAGUUUUGGACUGAUUUUUCUCUUUAAUUUAAAAUAUCUCAUUGUUAAGAAUUCUUAAAAAGUGAACUGAAGAAAUCCUAAGCAGCCAUUUCAUAUAGGUUCAAAAUCUUGCCACCAUUCAUAAACUCUACCAUACAACAAUUUGAUAUCCAUUAUAAAAGUACUCUACUAGUUUACAUUUCUUAAAACCAUUGUAGGGACACUUAAGGAGUGGUUAUUAAAUCUUUCCCAACACUUAUAAAAUUGUUCACUUUCUCUUUGAUAAAAAUCACUUAUCUCUCUCUCAAGGGCAUUUGUUUUAGAUAUAGGGAAAACCUUAGCGAGAAAUUUAUUGCUCAAUCAUCCCAUGUAGUAAUAGAGCCAGUGGAAAGUGAAUUCAACCAAUUUUUUGCUUUGUCUUUUAAUAAAAAAGGGAACAUAUGAAUCUUAAUUGAAUCAUCGUUAAAAUUUUGGAAUGAAAUGUAGAGCAUAGUACUCAAAUCGUCCAAUUUUAAUUGUUCUCUUUCUCUUUUAAACCCUUCAAUACUUAAAAUAAAAACUCAAAAUCUUCAUUUACAAUUCUCUUUUCUAGUACAAUCUUCUGACGGGCAACUAAUUUUUACAACUCUCUGCAUUCAUCGUUGAUUGUUGUUUCAUUAUCCUUGAGAAUUUUAAUUUAUUAAGUAUUUAGUAUCAUUCUUUUUAGAUUAAUAUAAUUAAUUGCAAAUAUUUUUUAUGUGUACCGCAGUGCUAGAGUAUGAAAAGGAAAUUUGAAUUUCACUAUAUAUUUUUUUAAAAAAGGAAAUUAAUAGCCUUAACAUAUGCAUUACAUCAAGAUAAAUAUAGAAGCUAAAUAUACUAACAAAAGCAAAACAUACAUUUAAUUCCUCUCAUAAACACCGUACUAAUUAAUUAAAGUUGUGUGAUAAACGAAACAAACUUAUUGAUCAACUCUACAGCUUUUUCACAUUUAAGGUUGUCGAAAUAGAAGCUAUGCCCUUCGCCGUGAGUCUCAACAAGCUCCACCGUUCCUUUCCACCCACUUUUCUUCAAGUCUUCGUAGUAAUUCAUAGCUACAGGUUUCAAAAAAUCUUUCUCAGCCACAAAUAUCAAAACCCUCUCACACCCAAGCCUGGCCAGAUCCUCUGCGGGUGGUUUCAGCCGAGGAUCCUGCAACCCUCCGUUUGUUGGACACAUGUACAACCACAGCUCAUCUUCUUCAGGACUAGUGCCACCGAAAAAUGGAUGCACCAUGAUCACCCCAACCACCUUUACACAUGGUAACCCGAUUGACCCGACCCGAAAUGCCAGAGUAUGCGCAAUAUUCCCUCCAGCACUGCCCCCUCCAAUGAAAACUCUCCCAAAAUGAGCAUGAUCAUUCAACCAUGGCUCGGGUCCAUUGCCGCCAGCAUGGGACGCCACCCAGUUGAGUGCAGCCCACGAGUCUUCGUAACAAGCGGGUAUGGGUCGAUCCGGGAAGAGCCCGUAUUCCACGGACACCACUAUAGCGUUAGCUUGUGCAGAAACGACGCUACAGAAAUUAUGAUACCGCGGACCAAAGGCGGACCGCCUGCAGAAUCCGCCGCCAUGCAUGUAGAAUAAGAGAGGGAGCUUCUUCUUGUUAGGGUUUUGGGCUUCAUACGGAAUGAAGAUACGAGCAGACACGGGUGGUUCGGACGAAAUAACAACGUCUUUGGAUCGGACGCCGGUGGUGGGGUCAUCGGAGGGUGGGAUGUUUUCGCAGUGGGGUUCGAAUAACUCAACCCGGCCGUCUUUGUAAACCCGGAAGAAUCGGAAUUCUUUUGCAAUUUCCGAGUCGCUUGAUGCCAUGUUUUUAAUUUGAAGCUUCGGUUUGAAAUAUAAUCAUAAAAGAGAAGAAGGGUUCUUUGUGUUUGUGCUGGAGAGCCAUCAAACACUUUAUAAUAUGGGAACGUACGUAGUCACCUAACUUUCACAGCAUCUUCUCGCCCAUAAGUAUCUGUUUCUUUGACACUUAUUUUUUCUUUUUUUCAUACCUUUUUCUUAUCGUUAAAUAUUUACGCUAUACGAGUAUGACGUUGAUCUUCCAAAUACUGAUAAAGGAUUUAAGUGGCUUACACGAUUGCCUUUUUUAAGCCAACCAAACCAACAAAUGAAAGAAACCAUUCACCAACUCUUCUUUUUCCUCUCUUCUGAUCAUCUGGUGGGAGAGAGGAAAACAAAAAAAAAUAAAAAUAAAAACAAUCAAUUUCUGCACCACUUCAUGCUUGUUAUAAGGAUAAAUUUUAGAAUACAUGGGAGCUAUUAUAUCAACUACACAAUAAAUGAUGUUAUGAUAUAUAUGUUUUUAUUUUGAAAAACUAACAUGCAAAUGGUAAUUAUAUUAAAUUCAAUUACACAUAUUAUACAUGUAUUAGUUUAUUGUAUUACUUCUAAUGUAUUCUAGAAUUCUUCCCAACAUUAAUAGGAUUAUUCGAAGGAUUAAUAAAUUAGAAAGAUUAGGAUUUAGUAUUGAGAUGAGUUUUUAUUUGAACAUUGAAUUAAUAGUUAGGAUUAUUUUUAUUUUUUAUUUUUUAUUUCUAUUAUCUAACAUUUUUACUCUCUUAUUUCUUUUUCCAAUUUGUCUUUAUUUUGUUGGGGUUAGAAACUCAUUCUCUUUUUUUUUUUUCACACACUAAAAUCACCGGCAGUGGAUGCACCUCAUAACCAGUGGUGGUUUAAACCCCCACUAGAGAAAAUAAUUUCAAAAACAUUAAAAAAAAAUUACUUGAGUUACUAAUUAUUCUUGUUAAAUUUAUAAAAAUAACCUCAUAAACUUAUAAGCCCAUAUAAUUUAAGGAUAAAGAUUUUCUCAUGAUCAUACAUUAUUAGUUAUGUAUGGUCAAAAUUUAUUUAAUUAUUAUAUUCUCAUUUAUUUACCACUAAUCAUAUAAAAUAUAUUUGCUCAAAUAAAAGAUCAAAUCAUGAGAAAACCUGAUCCAAAAUUUAAACUUUAAUUUUGAGAAAAUAAAAAUCCACACUUUAAUUAAAAAUAAAAGAGACAAUCGCUCAUACGGGUGUUUUAUAAGUGAAUUAGAAAUAGCACACCCAAAACAAAGAUAAAUGGAAGAAAAUAUUGCAUACUUUAUUCAUAUUGAAGUUGCCUUUUUUAGGCAUUACAUGAACAAACUUAAAAAUAAUAAUAAGAGCCAUUAUCCACCAAAUACUGCAGCAACUCUCCAGUAAGAAUAACCUAAAGACCAGGUAAACAUAAUCUUGCAAAUAAAACUACUAAACUUCCAAAAGACUAGGACCACAAAAAAGCACUUUAUUGACACAAUUAAGGAAUUUUCAAUAGGUUUUAUUAUUAUUUAAUUUAGUCCCAUUAAAUCUGUUAAAAUAACCAUUACAAACUCACUAAUUUAUAAAAUUUUAGUUUUUAUAUUUUAUCACUAUGUAAUUUAACCUCUGAUAAAUUGUUAUCAUGAAGCCGCCACUAAGUUCAUCACUCUUUCGAACCUUUUGAAAUAUAAGUAUGCAACCCAAGAGGGGGGGUGAAUUGGAAUCUUAAAAAUUAUCCUAGCAAAUCCACACAACAAGCAAUCUAAUGCCUUAAUAAAUUUGAAAGCAAUAAAUUCAAUCAAAGCACAAUAAUUAAAGAGCAAGGGAAGAGAGAGCAAACUCAAGGAUUUUUACGUGGUUCGGCAAUCCCCGCCUACGUCCACGCCUCCAAGCACACCGGGCUUGAGGAUUUCACUAUCCAAGUCUUUCCAAGGCUUCAACGAUUACAAUUGACUUCGAGGUGUCAAUAAACCUUUACAACAAAGAGAUUAUCUCCCAAUCUCUUCACUCAAGUGUCUCACACUCAAACUCUUACAAAUGAAAUGAAGAAAUGAAAGUUACAAUCAAACUCACUCAAUGAGUAGAUAUUCAAAGAUGAAGAACAAUGAAUGAUUCAAUGAUUUUGUGUUUUGCAAGUUGUAAGCUCAAGAUAUCACGUGUGCCUUUUGUUUUUGCUUGUUGGAGAGCUUCAAAAUGAGUUGGAUUUGAGUUCUUAUAGCUUGAGCUCGAAAACUAACCGUUACUCACAUUCUGGGCUAUCCGGUUUGCCGUUUAAUGGAAUCCGGUAAGCCGGAUUUAUGUUACCGUUAAGGCAAAAUUCAAAAUUUUGCCUAACCGGCUUGCCGGAUUCGGAAUCCGGUAAGCCGUUUUCGUUAUGGUGCUUACUGCCCGAAUUCGGCCUGCCAUUUAUCAGUAACCGGUAAGCCGGUUGCUACAGUAACCUGCUACAGUGAAAUUUUUCCCAUAUUUUCAGUUUGACCCCAAAACUUUAUAAAAACUAUAGUAUGGCCCAAAAAGUUAUGAAACUUUACAAAUAGGUCCAAUUUCAGAAUUUUUAAGUAAUGCUUCGUUAAUCCCAAAACUUUCUGAAAUUAUGACUUUGCCUAAAUUUUGUGAAAUUAUAUAAUGACCCUAAAAACAUUUAAAUAAUUUCAAAUAAGUCCAAAUCCGAAAACUUUAAAAAACAUUAUCAAAACUUUUAAAAUACAUGUGAUUUGUUAUCAUCAAAAUCAAUAUUUAUAGCCAUAUAGGCUAACAAUCUCCCCCUUUUUGAUGAUGACAAAGCACAUUCAAAACUUUAAUUUUGUUAUGAAAAAGCUCCCCCUUAAUCAAUGCAAGUUAAAAAAAAAUGAUUUGAAAAUAGUUUAAGAAAAACUCCCCCUGCAUACAUGCUCCCCCUAGAUACAUGCAUAUUUUCAUAACACAUAUUAAAUCAUUCUCCCCCUUCAUCAUCAAAAAGAAUAAAGACUCCCCCUAUCAAUCAUCAAAAUCACAACAUAAGUACAUUAGUAAAAAAAUAUUCAUAAGCAUAAGAAAAUCCAUAUAAAAUCCAUAUAAUCCAUAAUGAUCAAGCAACACAAAAUCCAUAAGAUCAACAUAGAUAGUCAUAACAAAUCCAUACAAUCCAAAACAAAUACAUAAACCGAAGAGCAUAACAACCAUCCAUAGAGUCGAAAAUAAAAGAACACACAAUGCAGUAAAUAAAAUGUAGGUGUGUCCAAGUACAAGCACAAAAUACUACUCAGGUGGUGAGGAUGGAGGUGGAAACGGAUAUGGAAUGCCGAAGUGCUCGAAGAGGAGGCGCUGUCCAUGAAUGAGCUGCUGCUGCUCCUGCUGAAGCUCAGUCUGCCUCACCGAAAGUGUCCGAACCUCAUCCAUAAGCUGCUGAAGAGUGACAUCUCCAGAGGUAGGAGGCCGUGGAGGUGAUGAAGCGGAUGCAGAUGCACUAAGAGCCGAAGCAACCGUAGAAGAAACUCGGCGUCUUCGCUGCCCUCGAAAAGAUAGUGAGAAUACUGGAAGCUGAUCAGCGGGAAACACGGCAUUAAGUGGCCGAUCAUCACUUGGGGCUAGAAAGGUAAACUUGUUAUCGCUGUAUUUGACCCAAUUGUCAUCCUUCCAUUCAAAGCCUAACCCAACAAUAACCUCAUCCCCAAUACCCUUGGAUGGCCUACAAGAAGGUUCUAAAAUCGGCACUUCAAAGAAUUUAAGAAUACGAGUAAUGAAGUGACCAUAAGGAAGAGAGCGGGUUAUCAAGGCUGGAAUGCUCAACAUGGUGCGAACAAUGGAAUAGCCCAAGUCAACCGGGCGACCUCUAAGAAUACAGUCAAUCAUGGCAACAUCCAUGUGAGACACCUCGUCCAAAUGUCCUAAUCUAGGAAGUACAAUGGACUGGAUGAUACGAAGCAAAAAACGAGUUUGAAGACAAAGACACUGAGUACGGAAAUGAAUGGUACAGUCUUCAACAGAAAGAUCAUUACGCCGACAAAUAUUACGAACGGCAUCAACAUGAACAUAAUCAUCAAGUCCUCACCAUAAUCAUAUAUCAUCAAAAUCAUCAAAAGAAUACUCAAAGUGCAUAUUAUUGUCCUCAUUUUGACAAUAUUGAAAUGAUAUAUUAUUUUGUCUCCCCCUUUGGACAACAAAAAAAUUCAAAAUGCAUAUUAUCCAAAAACAUAUUAUAUGCUCCCCCUAAAUAUAUGGCCAAUUAAAAUUUUAACCAAAAUGAUUUUAUCCAAAAACAUAUCACUUUUAUCUCCCCAUUUAUCAUUAAAAAAGGUAGAUGCAAUUGAAACAAAAGCAUCAAAAAUAAUUCGAUAAAGAUAUUACCAAUUUUGUGCGAGGAAAAAUUUCGGCAGAGUCUCCCCUUAAAAUGCACAAAUCCUCAAAUACACAACAUGGUUAAAAACGCUUCCAUAUAAGCUUAAACAAUUAUACCAAACCAACAACUCCAUCCAUUCAUCAAGUGACACAUAUAUAAUUUUCAAAUUCAAUAUGAAUCCAUAUUUAUACCAAAAAGAACAUCUCAAUGAUUAAUCAAGAAGCAUAUAAAAAUAAAGCAUGCAAUUAAUUCAAAGAGUCAUAUUCAUUCUAAGAAUUCAGAAAAAUAUCAUCCAAAUAUAAAUUAUCCAAAUAUUAAACAACCAUCAUCCGUAAUCCACAAUUAAAACAAUUAUGCAUAUGAAAAUAUAGGUGCAUAAUACAACCAUCCACCAUUGUUGGAACAAAAACAAGCUUAAAGAUCCAAUUUCGGGUUUACAAAAAUUGAGUGAAAUGGAUUUGUUUGAGCCAAGAAAAUCGAUCCUAGAGAUGAAUGAAGCUAAUAGAUGAUGUAGAUUGGAUCAAAAAUGGGCUAAAGGAAGCUUGAAAAUAUAGAGAGAGAAAUGGGUAGUUAGGUUUUUGAUUUUGGGUUUUAUGUGGAGAGAUGAUGAAAUCAAGUUUUGAGAGUGAAAAUUGAAAGAGUAAUGGAUGAAUAAUGAGUUGGAUGAUUGAUUUUAACAAGAAAAUGAGUGAAAGAUGAAGAGAUUUGAGAAAGAAAAAUGGAGAACACUAUUCACGCGGGAAUGGAAUGAGGAUGGAAUGAUGGAGAACAAGUGAAGAAAUCAUGAUGGAGAAGUGUUUAAUGAAGAUGAAAUGCAUGGGUAUUAGUUUAAAUGGUUGAUUUGGGCAUGAAAAUGGAUGAAAAAUGAAGAAAAUGGAGGUGAAAAUGGAUGGGUAGCUCACGGUUUUGAGGGAAGGAGAGAACAUGUGCAGAAAGCUCACGAGAGAGGAAGAAGAUGAAUAGCACAAAAGCUCACGAAUCCGGCUUGCCGAAUUUCAUUACCGGCUAGCCGGUUAUAGGGCAGUAACUUGAAAAACCGAAAACGGUCUGCCGGAUUUGAGAUCCGGUUGACCGGAUAUGAACCCGAGAACAACAAGCAAGAAUUCGGCUUGCCGGUUUUGAUAACCGGUAGACCGGUUGUGAGGCAGUGAGUUCCCUUUCAAAUUCAGUUUUUCGGAUUGAAGAACUGGUUAUCCGGAAUUUGUCCCGAGAGAAAUCAAUAAGAAAAAAUGUUUUUCCGAAUGAAUGGAAAGGGAAUAUUUGCUUGCUCUUAUACUUGUACUACACACCAUUUUAUUUCCGGCCUUAAAAAUUGAUUAAUUUUAAAUCAUUUUGAGAUUUAAAAUUUUUCAAUAAGUCAUUUAAUGCAUGAGACAUAAAUGCAUACAUGACCAAACAUAUGAAAUCAUAUCAAACAAUGAUGUCAAUUUUAUAAGUGAAUGAUGAUAUAACACAAUUAACGACACAAGAAUUCAUGCAUAUAAUUCAUUCAUCACAGUCAUGAAACAAUAAGCAUCCAACAAGCAUACAAUCAUGAAGCAUAUAAGCAUUCAAAACUUAAGAACAUGCAGAAAGGUCAAUUUCAAAAUAAAAACUGUAUUGAUUAAGCCAGAAGUAAUGUGCAAGCUAUAUACCGUUGGAAAGAUAAUUAAGUUAACUUUCCAAUAAAUUUUACAGAGCUUGAUUUAGAGUUCUCUAGAAGAAGUUAUGACCAAUUCAUUACAGCCUGUGCAGACUCAGGAUAAAAUGCAGAAAUGUCAAAUUCGGAAUAAAAACUGUAUUGAUUGAGCAAGAAGUAAUGUGCAUGCUAUAUACCAUUGGAAAGAUAAUUGAGUUAGCUUUCCAAUAAAUUUUACAGAGCUGGAUUUGGAGUUCUCUAAAAGAAGUUAUGACCGAUUCAUUUCAGCAUGUGCAGACUCAGGAUUUUCAACGACUCAUUUGAUUUCCAAACAAUUUUAAUAGAUUCAAUAACAUAAAUAGAGAUGUUAAUGCGAAAAUUUCAUCAUCCCAAGUUCAUGCCAAAUUUUUGAAAAUUGUUCUUCGUAAUAAUUAAACAUAUAAGCAUUCGAAAGUUAAUAAAUCAAACACACCACUUAACUAUCAUGCUUAAACACUUCAUAAACAUUAACAUCAAACAAAUCCAUCAUGAUAAAUCACUCAAUAUUACACACAAUGAUAAUUCCAUCAUGUAAACAUACAAGCAUACUUUCACAAAUUCAAGCUACUAUCCAUUUAUCAUGAUCCACUCAACAUGAUACCAAAUGAAUUAUUAAAUACUUACUAAGCUUAAAAGAUCAUCACUCAUAAUCAAUAAGGCAAUAAUUGUUACCAAAACAAUUAAACCAUCUUGCCUCAUUGUUUUUGCCUAGACCAUGAUCAUCCUCACAAGCUUCAUCAAGGGACUCUCCAUCCUUCCUUAUUUGUGGUACCUACAAAAAACUAUUCAAGUUGUAUACUUUGGUACCCAAAUAUUCUUGGGUCCUUGAGUGUUAGCAAUGGUUCCUUUUGGAACCCAAAUACAUUUUGCUCCAUAAUACACAUUUCUUUUAAUAGGACAUCUAUUCUUCAUAUGACCAUUUUGAUUGCAAUAAUGACAUACAAUUUUAUGAUCACUUGUGGAGGUAGCCUUAACAAAAUAAUUCUUAUAAUAUUUUUGUUUCAAGUAAGGCUUAUACCCAAGUCCUCCUUUAUCAAACACACAUUUUUGUGAAUUAAGCAUGUUAUCCAACAUCUUUUGCCCAUUUGUGAAUUUCAAAACAAUCUCAUUCAACUCAUUGCUCUUUUUCUUAAGCGUUUCAUUCUCAUUUUUCAAGUCAUUCAUGUGUGUCUCUAAGUGCUCAUGUGAAGUGCUAGAAUUCUCAAAUAAUGCAAUACUAUCGUGCAAUGUUUUAUUUUCUAAUUCUAGGCAUGUAAUCUUUGCACAUAGAGAUUCAUUUUCAUUUUUGAGUUCUACCAUUUUCUUUUUAAGACAAGCAUUCUUUUUACCAAUUUUUAUCCAAUUAUCAUGCAAUUCUUUAAAAGCAUCAUAUAAUUCAUCAUAAGUAAAAAGAUCAUUUACCUCAUCAAGAUCAUCAUCCGAUUCAUCUCCAAUUGCCAUGAGAGCUAGAUUUGUCAUUUCUUGAUGCUUUUCAUCAUCACUUGUUUCCUCAUCGCUAUCAUCCCAUGUGGCUACCAUUGCUUUCUUCUUGAGCUUGUUGAGAAGAGGACAUUCCGUUCUUAUAUGGCCAAGCUUCUUGCACUCAUAACAUUUGAUUAAUUCCUUCUUCUCCUUUCGGUUCUUGAGGUCUCUAAAUUUUCUUCGCUCACCGGAUUUCUUAAAAAGUUUUCUGAACCUCCUAGCCAACAUAUCCAUCUCUUCCUCAUCCAGCUCGCUUUCCUCAUCACUCUCAUGUUUUGAGGCUUUGAGAGCAAUGUUUUUCUUCUUCUCCUCAUUGCCUCUUUCGGCUGCCAAGUCUUCCUCAUAAGAAAUAAGAGAGCCAAUUAAAUCAUCAAUAGGUAAUACAUUUAAAUCCUUGGCUUCCUCAAUGGCAGUCCUUUUUUGUCUCCAUUCCUUAGGAAGUGGCCUAAUGAUUUUCUUGACUUUCUCGCUAUUUGAAAAAGUUUUCCCUAGGGCUCCUAGAGUGUUCACUAUGUCCGUAAAUCUAGUAUACAUAGAGUACACAUUUUCAUUUUGUUCCAUUUGGAACAAUUCGUAUUGUCGAGUGUAUCUACUUAUUUUAGAUUCUUUCACUUGGUUUGUGCCUUCAUAGACAACUUCAAGUUUGUGCCAAAUCUCAUUAGCACUUUCGCAACUAGACACUCUAUGAAACUCUUUCUUAUCUAAUGCACAAAACAAAGCAUUCAUGGCCUUGGAAUUUAGAGAAGCUUUUCUCUUUUCGAAUUCAUUCCAAUCCCGUGAAGGUUUUGGAAUAUCUUCUCCGACUUCAUUUUUAGUCAAAGGCAUGAAAGGACCAUCAUUAACGAUUUCCCAAAUUUCAUAAUCUAAGGCUUGCAAGUAAAUUCUCAUCCUAAUUUUCCAAUAUGGGUAAUCGUUUCCAUCAAAGUAAGGUGGUCUAAUUGUGGAUUGUCCUUCCCUAAAUGUUGAGUCAUAUUGGGUUGCCAUUGAUCUUUAGCUCUAGACGGUUAAGUCUAAACAAGAGCACCUCGCUCUGAUAUAAAAUGAAAUAUAAGUAUGCAACCCAAGAGGGGGGGUGAAUUGGAAUCUUAAAAAUUAUCCUAGCAAAUCCACACAACAAGCAAUCUAAUGCCUUAAUAAAUUUGAAAGCAAUAAAUUCAAUCAAAGCACAAUAAUUAAAGAGCAAGGGAAGAGAGAGCAAACUCAAGGAUUUUUACGUGGUUCGGCAAUCCCCGCCUACGUCCACGCCUCCAAGCACACCGGGCUUGAGGAUUUCACUAUCCAAGCCUUUCCAAGGCUUCAACGAUUACAAUUGACUUCGAGGUGUCAAUAAACCUUUACAACAAAGAGAUUAUCUCCCAAUAUCUUCACUCAAGUGUCUCACACACUCAAACUCUUACAAAUGAAAUGAAGAAAUGAAAGUUACAAUCAAACUCACUCAAUGAGUAGAUAUUCAAAGAUGAAGAACAAUGAAUGAUUCAAUGAUUUUGUGUUUUGCAAGUUGUAAGCUCAAGAUAUCACGUGUGCCUUUUGUUUUUGCUUGUUGGAGAGCUUCAAAAUGAGUUGGAUUUGAGUUCUUAUAGCUUGAGCUCGAAAACUAGCCGUUACUCACAUUCUGGGCUAUCCGAUUUGCCGUUUAAUGGAAUCCGGUAAGCCGGAUUUAUGUUACCGUUAAGGCAAAAUUCAAAAUUUUGCCUAACCGGCUUGCCGGAUUCGGAAUCCGGUAAGCCGUUUUCGUUAUGGUGCUUACUGCCCGAAUUCGGCCUGCCGUUUAUCAGUAACCGGUAAGCCGGUUGCUACAGUAACCUGCUACAGUGAAAUUUUUCCCAUAUUUUCAGUUUGACCCCAAAACUUUAUAAAAACUAUAAUAUGACCCAAAAAGUUAUGAAACUUUGCAAAUAGGUCCAAUUUCAGAAUUUUUAAUUAAUGCUUCGUUAAUCCCAAAAAUUUCUGAAAUUAUGACUUUGCCCAAACUUUGUGAAAUUAUAUAAUGACCCCAAAAACAUUUAAAGAAUUUCAAAUAAGUCCAAAUCCGAAAACUUUAAAAAACAUUAUCAAAGCUUUUAAAAUACAUGUGGUUUGUUAUCAUCAAAAUCAAUAUUUAUAGCCAUAUAGGCUAACACCUUUUAGUCGUCGUAAAGAGUUGGAGUAAGUUUUACAGAAUUAGGGCAUGCGAGAGCUCAUUGUAAAUGUAGAAAAUUCUUAUCUCCUAGACUUUCUUAAUUCUCUUUUAUCAUGAUAAUAUAUCACUACUAGAAAAAUGGGCUACCAUGAUAGAGAAUAUAUGUCAUCUGACCCUGUUUAUGAUAGAGUUUCUAUUUGUCAUUGUAGCCCCUCUCAUAAAUCUGUGGCAGUAAUUUAUCUAUCACAGGUGUAUGUGACAGCUUAUAGCUAUCACAAAUGUGUCACAACAAAAGCAACAUCGUUUUAAUAUUUUAGUGGUAAAUUUGUUUUAUUGUGAAAAAACAUUUGGCGAGUAUUAUGAUUCAAUUUUAAAUUAUGGCGUGUAAUUAUGUAUCGCAGCGUUAUGAUGCUAAUAUGGUGUCACAAUGAGAAUUUUUUUUAAAUAAUAAUAUUAUUAAAAGAAUUUUUAAUUUUUUUAAAAUCAAAAUUUUUUAAUAUUAAAAAUAAUAAUAAUAAUAUUUUAAAUCAUUUUUAAUAUUUUUAAAUUAGAAAAUAAUUUUUUAUAUUUUAAAUAAUAUUAUUAUUAAAUCAAAAUAUGUAUAAAAUCAAUACAUCCAAAUUAUCUCAACAAUAUUAUCAAAACAUCACUAAAUCAUCACUUGAAAUAACCAUAACAUUGUCAAAACAUCAUCUAUUCAAUUAUCACAAAUCUACAUCUCACACUACCAUCUGGAUCAUUACCAGCAAACAAAAACAUCACAACACUAUAUAUCAUCUGAAACACUACCAGGUUGAUCAAGAUUCACUACUACUUAAGACUUUAUCAAACAAUAUCAGCAUACAAAUUUCACUACCACUUAGACUUUAUCAAGAUUCACUAUCAUCUGGAACAAUACCAGCAUACAAAAUUCACUACUACUUAGCUUUUUGGGCAUCAUAUAUUCAAUCACUAGAAACUUCCAACAAAUAGCAUCAUCAAAAUACAUGGUGAAUCAAAUCCACAAUAAUAUCUCAUAAAUCAUUUACAAUAUCUAAUCACCUAAACUAAUCACCAACCCAUCCUAGAAAAAUAAUUAAUCCAUAGAAAAAAACAUUGAUGGUAAAUUCCCAAAAGCCACCAACAUCACCUGAAAAGCAGAUUACAUUAAGAUGAGUACCAAAAAAAAUGCAAAUUAACAUAUCGACCACUUAUAGUUAAUCAAAUUCAUAAGGUGUCAUCACACAGUUCAAUAAUCAAGAAUAAUGAAGAAUUUCACUCGUGUAACAAAAACCUAUAAUUACUAACAAAAAUCAAUGUAACUUCAUUUUUGAACUCUUCCAUUCCUUGUCUGGAACCUUUUGACAGCCUUUUAGCUGCAAUUUCUUGCCUUUCUAUUUAUGUACCAUAGAUCUGCCUAUUAGUUAGUAUAAAAAGAAAAUAUGAUCUAAUUUCAGCAGAAUGCCACAAUAUUACCUUGGACACUGGCCCAAAUCUAAUUUCUCCCAGUUAAUUGUAACUUGAGAAGUUAUCUGUGGCCUUUGCUAUACUGGCAAAAUCAGAUUCCCAUAAUUCCAUAUCUUAUUUUCCUCCAUUAUUAUAAUUUUUCAUAUGAUUCAUCUUUGUUAAUCCUGAAAUUGUAGGAGAAUUCCAUCAUGUAACCUCAUCAUGUACUGACUGUUACCUGAUCACAUUUGUUUUAUGUAUGAAUUUUCUUUUGACCAUAUAAUUCCCAAAGGUAAUUAGCCUACCAGGUAAACUGGUUGUCUGUUGCUUAAGUCACAACAUGUGAGACUUAAAACUAAAAUUUUGCUUCUGUUUACAAAAGGAAAAAAUAACAUGUAAACUUUUUAUUAGCUAAAAAAGAUGCUAAGUCUUUACACAUGCAUUACCUCUAAGGCAUAUUACCUCAUUAAUCUCAGCACUAGCAGCACCGUAGAGUUGUAUUUUGAACAACCUACAAUCAGUGCCACACUCUUAAGUCAUUUUACAUGAAGCUGCUGCCCCAAACAAAAGAAUAAAUAAAUAAAUAAACAAAAAAUAAAUCAUUUUGAUACCAUGAAAGAAAGCCGGCUAUCACUAGUUCCUUGGGGAAAAAUAUUAGUUUCCAAAAGUUCAGAGCACGACUACCAACUAGUAUUAUUAGCUCAAAGAGGGAAUAUACAAUACUUCUAAAGCGAAAUUUACAAGAGAAUUAAAAAUUUUCAAUUGUUUAAGUAACAUUUAAUGUUCAGUCUAGGCAUUUAAUAGUUGUUUCAGUUGGCAUUUAUCUGGAGAAAAGUAAACAAACAUCUACGUACCUAGAGCUUGCAUAAGUAAGUUCUUAGCAAUUCAUAUAAUAUCUACAAGAAGUAAUUUAUAGGAGAAGCCAACUUAUAGUUACAGCUGUAAUCACUAAGGCUUGAAAAAACCAAAUUAAUAAACUUAUUAACACUUCAGACAUCAAAUAGAUAGAAGUUAUAAUUAUGUAACCUGGUACCCCCAAAGGAUCUUGUAAGUUGGCUUUAAUUUAACUUUAUCGAACUCCAUACAAGCAUUCUCGAAGAAGUAGUUACUGCCAAAGGAGCAAUUUGGCUUCAGUCAACUUAAAUUGGAAUCAUAAAACUACAACAGUACUAUGAAUGUAUUAUAAUACAAACUAGUAAUAUCCCAAAAAUAACUAAAUAAAUAAAUAAAACCAGCAUUAUCAUAAGUGAUUCAGGACUGAGAAUAUAGUAACUAAGCUUAGGAGUUCAUGAGAUCCAUCACUGACACAAGUUGCAAAUCGUAUUAAGUACAUCCCAACAAGAGCUUGUGCCUUUUCUUGUUAAAUGUCUUAAUAAUUUAUAAGAAAGCAAAAUUAUCUGCAAAGAAUCAAAGCAGUUUAUAAAGAUUGUUGACAUAAUACAAAAAUGAGAAAGAAUAGCGUUGAAAAAGGGACAUUUGUUCCAAACAAACUUGAUUAACUGCUUCUGAAAGGUGAAUAUCCUUACACCUAUUUGUUUCAAGUGGCUAGAGAAGGUAGAUAAAGAUUGUGACAAGGACUGUUCAUCACCAAUAUCAGCAAGAACUGAAUCAAACCAAGGAACCUUUGCAUAUUCUGAAGAUAAAACGUAAAGGCUUGCAUAUUGAGUAACCCAGUGCAGGUUAUAUAAUAGCGGAAGAAUCACUUAUAUGAAUAGCAAUCAAAUCGAUCAAAAUUGUGACAAGGACUGUUCAUCACCAAUAUCAGUAAGAACGGCGUUUAGAUCACAGAAAAAUCAAAUCAGAUCAAAAGAAUAUAAUAUAGGAAAAAGAGGAAGUAAAGACCUAGCUGAACUUGAGCGUGUUGUUCAUCGGCAAGUAGUAGCAGCAGCAGAUCGAAGAGUAAGGACGAAGACGAAGUGUAGAAAUUUGUUGUCGGCAUGCAGCGCAGCAGAGGACCAAAUUUUUUGUCGGCAGCGUGAUUUUGUUUUUGUGUGUGAUUUGGAAAUUAGGGUUUGCCAUUUGAAGUCAAAGGAGAGUCUACCACUUACGAUUUUUUUUUUCAAGAUACAGUGUCGUUCUAUACCUAAAUUAACCCAUUCGAAACUCAUCGUUUCAUUCAAUAUUAAUAUGCUAUCAUGUGUAUGUGAUAGAUAAAUAAACUAUCACAAAUUUGUCAUGCCUUUAUGAUAUAUAAAAAUUCUAUCACGAAUCUAUCAUAUUUUUGUGAUAAAUGACUAAUUUUUGAAUAUCUAUCACAAAAAUUAUGUCAUAGUAGCUUAUUUUUCUAGUAGUGUAUGCUUUUAUAUAAAAUUUAUUUACUUCUAAAAAUAAUUUUAAAAAGCGGCUCCACGCAUCGCUAUCAUGAUUCGGUAUAUCUUUAAUAAAGCUGAAGGCUUGUAGAUAUUGCCUAUCAUGUAUCUUACAUUACAUGUAAGAUAGAUAUUGCCUAAUACUAAAAGACAAUGAAUUUGGAAAUUUACGCCACCAUGUCACUUUUUUGGACUAAAACAUUGCGCUGAGCAUCAUUUUAUUAAUUAUGUCGUCAUCACUGACAUCGAGUCUAUAUCCAUAUUUGGAGCAGAUCAAGAACAGUCCUCUUAAAAAUAUCUUUAACUUUAUACAUAUUAAUAUUUAUUGAAUUUAAGAUAUAUCAAUGAUGCGAUUUAUUAAAAUUAAAUAUUUAAUAUUUUUUAAUAUUUUAUUUUUAUAUAUAGACCCAACCUCAUAUUUUUUCUCUCUCCUAUGUUUUUUAUUUUUCAUUGCACUCUCUUUCUCUCUUCUCGUCUCUUGGUUUUUUAAUCCCUCGCUUUGGUUUGAUUUUUUUUUCUCUCAAUUACAAAAAUUUCUUUACUCUCUCAAGAUUUGAUAUGUUGUCAUAUUUUUAUAAUUUUGUUUUCUACAGUUAAUUUAAUUUUACCCUCAUAAAUGAAUAGACAUGAAUUAGAUUAGUCAGCCAAAAUGUGGAAAGAAGGAAGAACAGGGAAUCAACUUCUUUUUGAAGCCCUGCAACCACCUUUUAAAUUUAAAGGAAUUGUGAGCAGUUGCCUCCUUCGGGAAAAUUGCCAGCCCAUAAAAAAAAAAUUCUAAAAGUACAACAAUACACUAAAUCUUUUAUGCUUUCAAACAUUUAGCGAGAUUUUCAAACAUUUAGCGAGAUGAUCAGAGAGAGAAAUGGCUCAUAAAAGAAUAAAAUGGAGAAUGAGGGAUUAAAUAUUUUUAAUAUUUAUCUUAAAUAAAUUUUAUCAUCAAUUUAUCUUAAAUAAAUUCAAUAUUAAUUGAGUAUAAAUUAAGAAUAUUUUUUAAGAGACUUGACUUGCUCCAUCUUUAUUAUAGGAUUGAUAAUCAUUAUUUGAUUUUUUUCAAAAUUUGUGCGACUACUUAAAAGGAAAAUAAAGCAACAUAGUUAGUGGAGCAUGAAAACGAAUACCGCUGUCACAUAAAAUGCCACGAUUAUGCUGCUAAGGAAAAGUCAAAAUUGAUUUCCUCCCUCCUCCCUCCUAUAUUUGAAAGCACACAUUUCAUUCUAACGUAGAUAUCUAAGAGAUUGAUUAAAAGUCCAUACCGUAUGUGUUGGAGGAGCACUAUUGCCACCAAUAAUGGAGUAGGUAUGGCCGUAUGGGCACGUUCGGUCAACGUCUUCUCUUCAGUUUUUAACAUAGCCAACGUACACAUGUAAAGAUUUGUACAUAUCAACAGACAUUAAGUGAAUUAUUAUAGUUUAAGUUUUUGAAAAAUAAAUAUUUUUCCAACAAAAAUCUAAAAUAUAAGUGUAAAUUAUGAAAUGGGAUGGGUGUAAAAAUUUUGUUAAAAGAAAAUCUCAUUUAAUUGUUUAAUUGAAUUUUCAUUUAAAAUAAGAAAUGAACUAAUUUGUUUUUAAUUAUUUAAGUAAUUUUAACUAAAAAGGGGGGUUUAUUAGGAAUUUUGAGGAGUGUCAAAAGUCUUAAUCUUUUUUUUUUUAAUUUAUUUGGGAAGGAAAUUUCUGUUGAACAUGUGAAAAGUGAAAACAAUGGGAAACACAAUUGUACUUUUUUAGACAAAAUCUCAUGGUAAGCCACACACCCCGUAGUAAAAUAGUAUGUAAUGGGAAAAAAAUGAAUUUAAAUACUUUAUAUAAGUUGCAAACUGGAAUCAGAUAUUGGAAUUUAUAUUUCAGGAUUUCGAUUCAACGACUCUCUAUAACUCUUCAAUAUUGAAAUGUUUAUCGGUUAAUUAUGUUAUGUCAAUACCAAUUCAAUCACAAGUAUGGCGACAUGAAAAGUAAUAAAACAACCACAAUUGACAAUUAAUAUUUGCUUUCAAUACUAUUUCUGAGGGAACCAUUAUUUUGCUUGAUGAAGGAGAUGAAUUUAUUGGUCAACUCCAAAGCAUUUGUACAUGUAGGGUUUCUCAAAUAAAAGACAUGCUUCUCAUCGAGAUGCUCAACGAGCUCCACUCUCCCUUUCCAUCCACUUUUCUUCAACUCCUCGUAGUAAUUUUUCCCAGCGGGACACAAGUAGUCUCUCUCAGCCACAAAUAUCAAAACCCUCUCACACCCAAGCCUAGCCAGAUCCUCUGCGGGCGGUUUCAUCCUAGGAUCCUGCGGCCCAUCAUUACCUGCACACAUGUACAACCACAUCUCAUCGUCCUCCGUACCGCCAAAAAAUGGGUGUACCAUCGUCACCCCAACCAAGUUCACACCGGGUAGCCCGAUUGAUCCGACCCGGAACGCCAGAGUGUGUGCGAUGUUCCCUCCUGCACUGUCCCCACCAAUGAAAAAAUAAGUUCUUAUAUUUUCUUCACCAAAAUUAUUUUAAAUGUGUAUGUUAAAUCUAAAAUUAAAUAAAAUUAUUUGAGGAAAAUCAAAUUCGUCUAAGUAAACUAGAUUUACCUCCAAUAGAUAUUAAGUCUGGCUAUGCUACUAUAGCGGGGGAAGUAGAAAAUCCGCUACUUUAUAAAUAUAAUUUAACACCACAUUGUAGUUUAAAUACUGUGAUUUAGCCUAUGUACGGAGAUGGUUGUUUUUUAUCAAUUUGAAUUCGGAUCUUCUUCUAAUCUCAUUUUUUUCUUAAAUUUUUUGAAAUUCUUGAGACAAGUGAAAAUCGUUUUAGAAAAUCUAUUUCUUAAAUUAGAAAAGUAAAAUAGCAAAUUUCCAUAAACAAACCCAAGUCUUCUCUUUCAUUCACUAUUAUUAUUAUUUUCUUUUGGUAAUUUUUAGGGACAUCCCCUAAGGUUUCGCGUAUUAACACUCAAAUAAAAUGUAUUGAUUUAAUUACAGAUACUUCCCUCCUCGUUAAUAUAAAAUAUGUAUGGCGUUAGUAUAAAAGGAUAAACAUGUAAAUACAUACUUAAAUUUAAAAAAUAAUUUAAAGUGAAGCUCGAUGUUGAAAAAUCUUAAAUGUUACACCUUAUUAACCAUAUCUUGAAAAUAACCAGCAGACAAAAGAAAGCCACCAAUGCACUUAUCUUUCUCUUUCACAUAAGCAAAAACUCAAUACCAUAAGCAAAAGCCAAACAUCCACUUAUCUUUCUAUUUCACAGAAGCAAAAACCCAAUACCAUUCCCGAUCUUUUUUUUCUAAAGUUGUGAAGAAAUCAAGUUUAAAAAAAAUUUUACCUUAAAUUUUUGUGUUGGCUCAAGUCUUCCAUAAUGCCGCUGGCCAAGAAGAAGUGGAAGGCUAGGAAGAAAUCCCGGAGGAAUCUGCCACUGGCGACAAGAAAAAGAAGCGCGCGAAGAAGAGCAUCAAGACGUACAAGAUCUACAUCUUCAAAGUCCUAAACCAAAUCUAUCUUGAUAUCGGAAUCUCAACCAAGGCCAUGGGAAUCAUGAACAGUUUCAUCAACGAUAUUUUUGAUAAGCUUGCUUAGGAAGCUUCAAGGCUGGCGAGUUACAAGAAGGAGCCGACGAUUACAUCUUGGGAAAUUCAGACCAUUGUGAGACUUGUACUUCUUGGUGAGCUAGCCAAUCACGUUGCUUCCGAGGGUACCAAGGUUGUUACUAAGUUUGCUUCUUUCUAAAUGAAAUUUGCUGCAUUUGUCAGUAGAUUUUGGUGCUAUAUGAUUUGUUUAGUUAGUGAUUUAGGCUUUUAAUUUUACUAGAUGAAGACGUUUUGUUUUUCUUUUCUUUUUUUUGGGUGGGUUUGUAAGGUUUGUUUGGAUGUACUUGAAAUUGGGAUCUGAUCUAGGUGACGUGCAUGUUCAUUAUGUGAGAAAAAGAAAAAGAAAUAUGAUUUCUAAAUUGUCUUGUUGGUUCUUUACUGAGUUGUGAUUCAAUAUUAUGAAAUUCCCUUAAGUGAAAUAACUGCAUUUUAGAAUUUUUUUUAUUUAAUAGGCGAUAUCAAUUGCUUUACAUGGAGGACUAUGUUGGUCUAUUAAACAUUUUGUGAUUCCAGGUAAUCUUAUUGUCAUUGGUUCUCAAAGCUUUAUUUAAUAAAUUAUUAUUUUGGCAGGAAAGGUAUUUUAGUAAUUUAAACAGUCUACUAACAGUCAAUGUAAUGAGAAACUAACGACAAGGGAGCUACCUGUAAUUACAUCAAUACAUUCCAUCUCAAUAUUAAUACGCAAAACCUCAGGGUAGGUCCAUAAAAAUUACUCUCUAGGUAAAUUUUAUUUUUUACCCCCUCAGUUUCGUAGUUCUCACGUAUUGUCAGCUGCAUUAAUAAAGUUUGUUGUUUCCAUGUUAUUAUAACAUGAAAAAUAAAAUAAAACGAAUUGCACAGCAUAUAUAUUACAUCGUAACAUAAAUAAUUGGUUCAUUAAACGAAUUGGUUCAUUAAUUUUGUUGCUUCCAUAUUAUUAUAAUAUGAAAAAAAAAAAAAGAAUUGCAGAGCAUAUAUAUUACAUAAUAACGUAAAUAAUCGGUUCAUUAAAACAUGCUUAUUGUCAGAAAACUGAAAUAUUAGGUAUUCCUUCAUGGGUUAUUGCGUUUAAAUCGAGUUGAUACUAGGACUUUGGGCUAAGUUGGUAAUAUUGUAUUUUUUAAAAUAAUUGUUGUUAGAUAUGCUAUAGAAAUAAUGAUGAUGAUGAUGAUGAUGAUGAUCUCUUUAAAGUUAACAAUUUUAUUUUUCAAUUGAUUAGGAUAAUUUUAGAUUUUUAUAAUAUAUAUAUAAGGAUAUACAUGAACUAUAUUAAGUAUAAAAUUAAUUUUCAAAAUUAGAUUUUGAAAAGCACUCUUUCCCUUCUUUUCAAAUCUCUUAUAAGAUGUGUUGAUUUUGUCAAAAGUGAUUUCUGAAAAAAUUUAAUAAACACCAAAAUUAAUUUUUAAUCUUUCAAAAUAACUUUUAAAUCUCCCAAAAGUAAUCCCAAAACAGGUCCUUUGAAUGAAUGCAACAUGUAAGUUAAGAAGGCGAAAUAUUGAUAGAGCUGCUAUCAGGAUUUUGAAUGAAUGCAAUAUGUAAGUCAAGAACGUGAAAGAACUGUAAUCUUAGUCAUGAAGUAUAUGCUAUCAUUUUGAGAUUGUCUUAUUGCUUCUUCACAAUCUCAUUUUGGUUUAAUUAAAAAGAUAACAAAUAUAUGCUUGUUACUAGAUAUUUUGCCCCAUCUCUAACCACCACCCACCUUGCAAUUUAUACAAUUUUAAUUUAUUGUAUCAUGAUAAGAAUGUGUGCGAUCAUGCAUGUGUUUUCUUCUUGGUGGGUCUAAGCCGUGUGACUUGAUGAGGAUAGCUGAGAAAUGGAUGGUUGAUUAUGAAAGCACAUCUUGCUAGUAUUUGCGAAUAAUUUCAUUGAUUUAUUAUAUAAAUCAUCUUAAAAGACUUAACUUAUUACGAUUAAGACAGAGUUUAUUAGUGGAGUAAAUAUCAAUUUUUUUCUUUUCUCUUCUUUGUAUUUUUUAUUUUAUAUUUCUUGAAUCUCAAUUUAAUCUAUUUAUGUCGAAAAUUAUUUUUUGGUUAUUAAUAUUUUACUCUCGGUUAUUGAAUGCGUUUGGUUUUUCACAAUUUUGAUAAAUUAAAAUGCAUUUUAACGGCAUUUUAUGAAAAGCCAAAUGCAUUUUAUUGAAAAGCCAAGUGCAGAAUCCACCGCCAUGCCUGUACUUUUGGCUUUUCAUAAUUUUGAUCACGCAAGCAUAUGUGGCGGUGUAAUUACGCACUGAAUCCAAAUCUUCCCCUUCCCCCGCGCGCCCACCCACCAUCCCCCCGCGCCCACCCGCCAAAAGGUCAAUUUUUUCCUCUUAACGUAUUAAUCUUUAAAAAUCAUUCGUGGAUUGGAUAUAUAGGUGACGUCUUCGUCGUCUAGCAUGCAUCAAACCAAACUUACCUUCGUCGUCUAGAAGGGGGAGCUUUUGAUCUGGGCCGUUGAUCUUGGGCAGAAAAAUACGGGCCUUGACGCCGGUUUCCGGUGAGAUCAUUACAUCUUUGGAUUGGACUCCGGUGGUUGGGUCAAUGCCUGCGUCAACAGAUUGGAAUACCCUGUACCUCUCUACACGCCCAUCUUUGUAAACCUUGAAGUAGGGUGGGAAAUUGUGGGUUAUUUCACUAUCGCCAGAAUCCAUCACUAAAUUCAAAUGGAUGAUUAGAAAGAAAAGAGGACUUUGUUUUGUUUUGUUUUGUUUUGGUUGUGUAAUACGCAAAGCAAUUGAAUUAUGAAGCCAGAAAAGUGACAAAACUUCUAGUUGAUAGAGUAGGUAAAGUCAAUAAAUAAAUUUGAUGAGUUGUAUAUUUUGGUUGCUGUUCCAUUUUAGUUAAUGAAUUAUUUGUUUCAUCACUCAUGCAUGAAUGACAAUGGCAUGUGAUGUCCCUCGUCAGUCAUGCUACUUGGUAAAUAUGCAUCAAUGACAACGGCAUAUGUAUGUCCCUCAUCCUUUAUAAAGACUGACGUUAACUUAUAAGCAAAUAAUCUCCCACCGAUAUGGAUUGCCUACCACCUUUAUUUAUUGUACUUAGUUCGACCCCGGACUGGAAAAAAAUCUAGUAUCAACAGUUGACAUUAUUUUUUCCAAAAUACAGCAUCUUCCUUUCUCUCUUUACUACUGUUGAGUGUUAGAAAAUGUAUAUUUAUAAAGGAGAAAAUCGUCAUUUUACAUUUCAAGUUUUACUAACACCCUUACUUUUAUGUAUUUAACCUUCUUUUAAUUUAAUUCCGUGUGUUUUAUUUUAAUUAAGUAUUUUAUGUAUUUUAGGGGCAUCAUGGUCAUUUCACAAUAAACGAGAGAUCAGACGACAAAACGGACAUCACUUUUGAACUCAAGACGGUCGAAAACCUUAGGAGGAACAUAAAAAGAAAAAUGGUAUUGUUCACAUGUACGGUACUGUCUACGUUACUGUUCACGACACUGUUCACAUAGACGGAUCGAUGACAUGGCAUUGACCGAUGAUGUGGCAUUGACUGAUGAGGUGUCACGAUCCUGUUGGACUAAAAUUCUUAUGUACUGUUGAUGGUGACGUGGCAGCAUAUCAGUGGACCAAAAAUCUCGCGUAUGGUACAUGCAUCACACAGGAUUAUUUUCAACCAAACUGCGUCAUUGUUCAACCCGGGUCAAAUCGUGUUACUGUUCAUCCGCGUGGUCAAACCGCGUACUGUUGACUGAUGACGUGGCGCAAUCCUGAGCGUCCAAACUGUUUUUAAUCCAAUGACCAUGAUUUACUCAAUGUAUCUAUAAAAAUGGGGCCUCCCCCCCUAAUUUGAUACCUCUGAAUCCAUUUUUGGACUCCAUUUUCUGUAAUUUCCUCUCCAUCUUGUAUUUUCUACGUAUUUUAAUAAAUUCUCAUUUUGCCCCUAGUUCAAUUAUGAGUGGCUAAUUUCCUCUCAAGCUUUGGGUUGAAGGUGAAGUCUCAACAUGUGUCAUGGGCUUUAUUUGGUAAAUUUAUUUUCUCUUCCCCUCUAGUUUUUGUGGAUGUUUUGACUUCUCGUCGAUAAAUAAUAAUAAUCUUGUCUAGAUACAGCCUUGGUUUCACCGGCUCUCUAGUACAAGGUUAUUAUUAUUUGGCACGAUAAGCCCUUAGCACCAUAUUGAUUAAAGUGUGGUUCAUGAGGUGUGGAUUCCCCCCUCAUGAUUUAAUUGGUAUUAAUAAGGAAUAUUUAGCCCAUGAUGCAUAUUGAUACGGAUCCAGAUACCCAAGUACGUCAUUUUAAUAGAUUUCUAUUCAAUUUAUUCUCGCCAUUGCAAUUCCAAUUUUAGAAUUUAUUCUCGCCAUUUCAAUUCCAAUUUUAGGAUAAUUUAAAUCACUUUCGCCACAAAUCCAACCACCCAUUUACAAAAUUAAUUAUACACAUAAUUAAAAUCCACCUCCUCGUGGGAUCGACACUCGUCACCAUUGAUCUACACUACAAUAGAUUCGUGCACUUGCGAGUUCAAUAAAAUUUGCACAACAACUACCAUAUAGGUCACAGUAAAAAAGCCUCCCUAUAUUAUUAUUAUCUUUUUCCAGCUCAAUUUAAUCUUUCCUAUGGAUUCCUCAAACUCAAAGCCAGCAGCUGAAGUAGCCCAGGACGUGUCUCCCAUGUUUAAAAUAUAUGAAGACGGCAGAGUGAAGAGGCUUAUAGGCAACGAGAUAGUUCCCCCAUCCUUUGAUCCAAAAACAAGCGUUGAUUCCAAAGAUGUUGUGUAUUCACCUGAAAAUAAUCUAUUCGCCCGGCUUUACAUCCCCCAAAACACAAACAAUCCAAACCAUAAACUCCCUCUAGUAGUUUAUAUCUAUGGCGGAGGCUUUUGCAUCUAUUCUGCCUUUCAUCCAACUUACCAUAAUUAUGUUAAUACCCUGGUCUCUGAAGCUAAGGUUAUUGCAGUCUCCGUUGACCAUCGACGAGCUCCUGAGAAUCCUGUCCCUUGUGCUCAUGAAGAUUCAUGGGCUGCACUCAAAUGGGUUGCUUCCCAUGCUGAUGGACAAGGCCCUGAAGAUUGGCUUAACCAUUAUGCUGAUUUUGAGCGAGUUUUUAUUUAUGGGGACAGCGUUGGAGGUAAUAUAGCUCAUCACAUGGUGAUGAGACUCCCUCGAGAAAUUCUCGACGGUUUUAAUGUUGUUGGUAUUGUUUUAGCUCAUACCUAUUUUUUGGGAAAAGAACCUGUUGGUGAUGAGACAAUUGAUGCCAAAACUAGAGCUUCCAUAGAGAAGAUGUGGCGAGCUGCUUGUCCUGGUACAAGUGGGUGCGAUGAUCCGCUAAUUAAUUCGUUCGUCGGUUCGAGUCUAGCGAACCUCGGGUGCAAAAGGGUGCAGGUUCAUGUUGACGAGAAGGAUUUGAUGAGAGAUAGAGGAUGGUUUUAUUAUGAGAAGUUAAAGGAAAGUGGUUGGGGAGGUGAAGCGGAGAUCGUUGAGUCUAAAGGAGAGCCGCAUAUCUUCUAUUUGCUCAGUCCCACUUGUGACAGUGCUGUGGCUAUGAAGAAGAAGAUUGCUUCCUUCUUCAACGAGAUUUAGACCUGAAUUUCUUAUAUGGGUUGUUCAAAUAAGCUACCGCAAUUGAUCUACUGGAAAUUACAGCACUUCCAAGGUUAUAGCAUUUUUCUCUUCUUUUUUUUUUCCCCUUCACCACGUGGAAGGAUAGGUAUUUUCCUAAAUUCAUAUCUGUGAUAUAUAUUUCACACUCAGACUUUGAUUUGGUGUGUGUAUGAUAUGGUUGUAUUGUUGGUUAAAAAUUCUCAAAUCAAAUUGCUUCAAUCUCAAAUUUCAAGUCAAAAUUAUGAAAGAAUUGAUGUUAGCACUCAUGGUCUUUACAGAACUAACAUAAAAAUCAAGUAUAAACUAAAACAAUAUUCAAACCUUUCUAAGAACUAUAUUCAUUGUAAAUCAAGUUCUUACCAUUGGCUUUUCACAUUUAUAACAAAUAGUUUUUUUUUUUUGGAAAUUCUUAAUGGAUUUUUUUUUUUUUAACUUAACAAUAAUUAAAACACAUUCUAACUCCCACCCCCAAACUUAUUUUGAGCAUUGUCCUUAAUAUUUCAUAAUCUAAAGAUAUAAAUACAAAAAGGUGAAAGAGAUAAAGAAAUCAUGAAGAAUAAAAGAAAAAGUUUGCGAGAUCACACUUGAGCUGGUUGCAAAAGCUUAAAAGAAAAUGACAAAGAACAAGAAAAUGUUAGAAAAUAAAAAUAUUAGGAAACAAAAAUAAACAAAAGUCCUUAGUAUCAUGCGAAAUAAAAGAAAAUUUCUCAAAUAAUGACACUAACAAGUCCUCCAGGAUAAAAAAGAAUUUGGUUAUAUACUUAGAGUGACUAUCAAGAAAACAAAAAACAAGACUAUUGAACCUCUUGAGCAUAUGAUCUAUGAAAGAAAAAUGGAAGUGACCUCGCUUUUACCAACCUUUUUCACAAUAGGGUUUGGAUUUGGUAUUAUCUCAAGCAUAUGGCUAAAACCAUUCUCAAAGUGAAUCAUAGGUGCAUAGAACGAGGGACUGCAUCUAUCCAACUUAUGGCUUCUUCAUGUUCAUUAAAAAUCAUUAAUUAAUUUACCAACAUGUUUAUUUUAUUUAGUUGCUAAAAUAACAAAGAAGUUUUCUGAAGAUACUUGAGACAAAGAAAUGGAUGACUCAAGUAAUGGUUUCAAGUCUAAUAACGGUCGUUUUUCUAUAGAUGGAGGAGGUAUAGACUUAGAGGGUGGAAGACAGUCUACUUUAGCUAUCCAUUUAUUAAGAUCCAUUAAUGAGGUAGACUCUAGUAUAGAAUUUACUUCACUAAUCAUAGUAUUCUCAUUUAUGUCGAUGCUAAAAUAAGUUAAAUAAUCUUUUACUAGUCAUCUCCAUUGAAAAGCAUAAAGGAAUUAUUGAUUGUACUCUCUAUUAGAUUGACAACUCCGUCAUCAUUAAAAUUCUCUAUAGCAUAAAGUUGUUUACUAACAAUAAACACAUUGAGUUCUAUAGUCAUGUUCCUAAAUGAAAUUUUUAUGACAUCAUUAUGACAAUUAUUAAGAAUUUGUUAUGGUUAAGAGAGGUCAACCUAAAAUAAUAAGAAUUUGAGAACAUGGGUUCUCUACAGGUUCAGUGUCAAGAACUAUGAAGUCGUCAUGAAAGUAGAAUUUAUCUACCUUGACAAGAACAUCCUCUAUAAUCCCUUUAAAAAUGUUGACAUAUUUAUCUACUGAUUAGAGUGAUACAUGAGCGGGUUUCAAGUCUUUAAAUCCUAAUUUCUCAUAGAUAGAGUAUGGCAACAAGUUAACAAUGGCACUUAAAUCAAGUAAAGCUCUAUAAAAUGCAUGGUCUCUAAUAGCACAAGAAAUUGAGAUAAACUAGGGUAUUUAUACUUAGUAUGAAUUUUGUUCAGGAGAAUGCUAUUAACCUUUUCAGUUAGGAAUGCCUUUUGUGGGACAUUGUUUUUCCUUUUUACUAUACAAAGAUCUUUUAAGAACUUAGCAUAAGCUGAUAAUCGUUGAAUAACAUCAAGCAAAAGGAUGUUUAUACGAACUUGCUUAAACAUUUCUAGAAUAUCAUUAUAAUGAGUAUAUUUCUCCUAUGGGACAAGUCUUUAUGGGUAAGGAGCUUUGAGAACAUAAGGCUUUAAUUGAAUUCCAUUCUCAUUAGGUUUACUAGGUAAUUACUUUUCAAUUUAAGUUGGUUGACUUUCUUUCCAAUGCUCAAGAACUUUUAAAUAAUUAUCAAUUGUUUUUCCAAGCCUAAGGGUAGUUAUAGAUUUGGCUUUCUUAUUAGGCAUAUUAGAAAUGGAUGAUGAUCUUAUUUCAAAUUGACUUUUAGGGUUAUGAAUUGGUUAACUAAGUAGUUUUUCUUUCUCCCUCUCAGUUACAGUAGUUUCUAAUGGACCCAAUUGAUUUUAAGCUUUAAAAUAACUUUAGUGUUUCAAUGUAAGGCUUAUUGGGUUGACUGAAUGAAAUUUUGAAGUGUAUAUCUAAAAAAUGUCUUCUUUGUGAAAUUCUAUUUAUGCAACCCAAGAGGGGAGGUGAAUUGGGUAACUAAAAAUUAUUCAAUUCUAAAACAAAACUCAAUGAAAAUCUAAAAUGAAUUUAAAGUAAUAACAUAUAAAUCAAUCACAAAAUAAAAAGAUAAGGGAAGAGAGAUUCAAACACGGAGAUUUUUACGUGGUUCGGCCAAACUCGCCUACGUCCACGCCUCUAAGCUUUCCAAGCUUGAGGAUUUCACUAAGCAAGCCUCCAAGGCUUCAAAUGCUUACAAUUGACUUCCAAUGUGUAAAUGAACCUUUAAACCAAGAGAUUAUCCUCAAUUUCUCAACCCGCAUUUACAACAUGAGAUUAUCCUCAAUUUCUUAACCUAAGUGUAUCACAACACUUACAAUUACUCAAAACAAAAAUUAUAAAUUUGUUCUGCACUCACAUAAUACUUAAGAUUACAAAUCAAUGCCCAAUGAGUGACUAAAUGAAGCAAAAAUGUGUUUAAAGCUUUAUGAAGGUUGUAUUCUCUAUUAUGAGUUCAAUGAUAGCGUUGUGAUCAACCUUUGUUUGAAUUUGAAUGAGUUUAUUUAUACUUGGAGCUGAAAAAUAGCUGUUACUGAUUGUCUGCUUGUAAACGGAUCACUAUUAACCAUUAACGGUUAACCGUUUGGACUAGUCAAAGUUACUGUUGAACCAAAUUUCGAAUAAACGGUUGACCGUUUAUCACUACUCUUUCACCGUUAAUUUUCAAAGACCUGCAAAAUAAAUUUCUAUUAUCCGUUCUUACUAAACGGUUAAAUAUUAGUAAGGAAAGACAUUCUAGAAUUUAUCGGUUAUCCGUUUGAAGUUAACGGUUCGCCGGUUAUUUCUAGUAACCUGCAAAACGAAAUAGCUUAAUCCGUUUCUGUUAAACGGUGAAAUAUUAGUACAAGUUUCCAUCCUGGAAUUUAUCGGUUAACUGUUUUCUAUAAACGGUUCACCGUUUAAUUCCAGUAACCUUCCCAGCAUAUUUUUGUUUUCCAUUUUUGCUAACCGGUUAGAGCUUAAGCAAUUGACCCUCUCUGGAUUUUAUCGGUUAACCGUUUACUUCCAGAAUCACAGUUUUAGCCAAAUAUUGCACGAAAUCAUUUUCCAUGUUGAAAUUUAACAACUAUCCAUAUUUCAUGAACGUAAUUGGAAUGAUUAUAUGGCUUUUGUUUAUUAAUGAAUAGCUCUAACAUUUUAAUAAAAAACAUUUAAAGUUUGUUAUCAUCAAAAUUAAUAUUAUGAAUAUAUACAUGUUAACACUUUGUUGGAGUGCAGCAAAUUGUUGAACAAGAGGAUACGCUAGGUUAUGAGGGACAAAUUCUUUAUCGGGCAUGCUAAAUUGUUGUCCUCCUCUGUUUAAUAUAGUUUGAUUUUGUUUUUAGAAAAAAUUAGGGUGAUUCCCUAAUUAGAAUUAUAUGUGGGUAAAUAUGGACUAUUAGAGGAUUUUUCUUAUAAUUGUAAUGCAUGUACUAGCUCAGAAUAAGCCUUUUGAUUCUAUGUCAUAUGAGAUAAGUUGGAACAAAGAGCACAAAUUUCAUUAGCUACACUAGGAUGAUGAUUCAUUGAUUGGUUUAUAGUUAAGACUUCUACUUUCUUGGAAAGAUUAGCUAAAGUGGCUUUCACAUCAAAAUCAUUAUUAACUUCAUGUAGACUAGAUCUGGUAAGAUAUUUUCCACUUUGGGCCUUAAUAAGGCCCGCACUGUUUUUUUUCCUAAGGAGCCCAUACACCCCAAAAUGCGUUUUGCCAGUUAAGGUGUGGAUCACCCCUUAUAAACUCAGUAUCUCUCCCGUGCUUUGCUGAUGUGAGAUUCGCCUAAAGUGUUACAACCAUUAAGUUUUGGACUGAUUUUUCUCUUUGAUUUAAAAUAUCUCAUUGUUAAGAAUUCUUAAAAAGUGAACUGAAGAAAUCCCAAGCAGCCAUUUCAUAUAGGUUCAAAAACUUGCCACCAUUCAUAAACUCUACCAUACAACAAUUUGAUAUCCAUUAUAAAAGUACUCUACUAGUUUACAUUUCUUAAAACCAUUGUAAGGACACUUAAGGAGUGGUUAUUAAAUCUUUCCCAACACUCAUAAAAUUGUUCACUUUCUCUUUGAUAAAAAUCACUUAUCUCUCUCUUAAGGGCAUUUGUUUUAGAUAUAGGGAAAACCUUAGCGAGAAAUUUAUUGCUCAAUCAUCUCAUGUAGUAAUAGAGCCAGUGGAAAGUGAAUUCAACCAAUCUUUUGCUUUGUCUUUUAAUAAAAAAGGGAACAUAUGAAUCUUAAUUGAAUCAUCGUUAAAAUUUUGGAAUGAAAUGUAGUGCAUAGUACUCAAAUCGUCCAAUUUUAAUGGUUCUCUUUCUCUUUUAAACCCUUCAAUACUUAAAAUAAAAACUCAAAAUCUUCAUUUACAAUUCUCUUUUCUAGUACAAUCUCCUAACAGGCAACUAAUUUUUACAACUCUCUGCAUUCAUCGUUGAUUGUUGUUUCAUUAUCCUUGAGAAUUUUAAUUUAUUAAGUAUUUACACUACUAGAAAAUGGUCUUUACUGACAUUAGAAUAGUGUCAGCAAUUACUUUUAGUGACACUUGUUAAUUGUGUCAGUAAUCUGGGAGUCAGAAAAAUAGUGACACUUGUAAUUGGUGUUAGUGAUUAUUGUUUCUAUAGUAUCACUAAUAUUAUGAUUCUACAGUAUUAGUAAUUGUUGAUAUAAUAUUAGUGUCUAUGAUUACUAUUACCAUGGUAUCACUAUUUAAUUUAUUUAGAAAAAUAAAAAUUUAAAUUGUCUCAUUACUAAUUGAUUUGUUGGUAAAAUUAAAAGGCACCACAAAUCUUAAAAAAAAAAAAACACCUCAAUUCAUAUUGCAAAAUCUUUCAAUUCAUAUUUAAAUAUUGGUAGUAUAUAUAUUAUUACAAUUGUAUCAAAUACAAAUUCAAACAAGUAUUAAAGAAACAUAUAAAUUCAGAAUAUCUCAAAUAUAGGAGCCCUGAUUCAUUUUCGGUGCCAUGGAGCUAGACCAGUGAACUAUUAAGCUUUCUUCAAAGGAUGGCUGCUUCCAAGCCCACCUCUUGGUUUUGAAAGACACACAAGUAGACAUUCGAUUUGAGAAAAAUACAAGUAUUUAGUUGGCAACAAAAUUUUCCUCAAUGCCUCUACACCUUGAACUUAAUUGUUUUCCCACCUACAAGUGUAACAUAUAGAAUUAAUUAGUAUGCCAGACAAAUUAAGUAUUGGACAUUUACAAUAAAAAAUAUACUCAUACAUUACAUGAUUAUCGUAUGCUACAAAUAACUUGGCAACAUAUGCGGCCCACUCAUCAAGAAGUUACGAAAGAUCAUCCAUAAUGUGUACUCAUCACAUCCAACUUCAAAUCCAAUUACUAACAAGUCAAUAUAAUAAAACAAUAAUCUGUAACCAACCACUCAACAUUUUCUAGAAAUUACGGAAAGCAAGAACAUGGAAAUAAACAGAACCAACACAUAGCACACCUAACAGUAAUUACCAAAGAUCCCUAACAAGCUCAGAAUUGAUAUUAAUCCUUUUCAUCUUAAGUAUUCUUAGGGUAUCACUGAUGAAUUAAAUAAGUAUUCUUAAGAAAAAAAAUGUAUAGUACCAAACUCUUGCAGUACUUUCCAAUAUCCUAUCAAAUCUUCGAGACACAAUUAUAACAAUCUGGGGUCAAAAUACAACACCAGCUUUUUAGAAACUUCACUUCUGCAAAAAGAAACUAAACAUAUUCAGUUAUUAAGGUACAGAAAUAAAAAAUGGCUUAAGGUCAUUGAGAUGAAGAAACCAAAAGGAAAGAUUGAAGAAAGAUCACUGGAUCAAUUACAAAGAUCUUUCAAUCAUUCACUUAGACACGGUGCACUAUCAAUUAUUUAAAAAAUGGUGGAGCUUAUUUUUGCUAAGGUGAACAUUCUUUAUGUUUGUGGCUCAAAAUAGCUACAAAAGUAUAAUUAUAUUCUCAUUUUAUGGGUAGAAAGUGAAGUCUAUUAAUAGAAAUUCCAAAUCCAAAAUACAGGUACAAAAUAUAAGAUAAUAAAACAUAUAUGCUAUAUUUUAAUAAACCAUCAAGAAAUGAUUGAAUUAAGCAUUACCUCAAUGGGUUCAGCUACUCCCCAUGGGAGACGAGAAAAAAAUACAAGUUUCAUAAAAGUCAGCAUGUGCUAGUUAGGAAGGAUUUCUUUUGACUUCAUCCACAGUUUGCUGAAGAAUUUUGCUGCACAUUUAUAGAACAGAAAAAAGUAUUAAGAUUAAAAUUUUAAACCCUAUUUGAAAUUUAACCCCCAAGAAAAAAGUAUAGAGACUAGAUACAUGAACUUCUUACAUGUGCAUGAAUACUCCUAAGCUUCAUAGCUAAAUGAUAAAUAUUUUUUUUAAGGAAUUAAAGUUUGGGUUACCAAGCAUGUAAUUAAUCUAACAUAGGUGUUAACGCCCCCUGUAGACAUAAUGCAAGAUUAAACUUUUCAAGUUUAAAUAAAAGAUACAAAUUGCAAAACAAAGCCAUGUUUUGUUUGUUUAAAGUCACUUAAAUACAUGUACAUGUUCAGCAAGCCAACAAAACAUGCCAUAAACAUUUUUCAUUUUUCAUGUCAUUUCAUUUUUUUUAACUGAUUCUCUACUGAUUCUGUAGGUUGUAAUAUCCAAUUUGACGCAAUAAAUUAGUUUGUUUAAUACACACCCCAUGUCUUUGUACUCAUCUCUCUUUUGGUUUCUUAUACUUUGGGACAUUUAACACAUAACAAUUGAUACCUACAUAAAACAAUCUAGCAAAUUGAUGCAAGCAAAUGAAUUAAUUGGGCAACUUACUGCUUUCAUGGAUGAAAUAAUGCAAUCCUUACCAAGAGGGCUCACAACGCUGGAUGGCAACCUGCCAAAUAGCAAAUCAAGUAGAAGUCAUCGUCUUUUCGUAACUGCUACAAAAAUAGUACAAACAUAUUACAUAUUGGAGAAUGCCAACAAGCCAAAUAGCAAAUCAAGGAAACCAAGUCUAUGGAGAAUUCCAGAUUACUUCAAAUUUCUCCUUGUCCUCUCUUGUAAAAGCAUUUCUUGUAAAUCAAAUUCGGGACAUGGUUUUCAGUUAAUGGAAUUUGGGAACUUAACUCCACAGGAAGUUGCAUGUGAUGUUGGAUUAAAUCGGAAAAUUUUUUAUUGUUGGAUUAAAUCUUUGAAAAGUGAAGUGUAUGUGAUUUUAAUAUGUGCUACGUGGUUUCUUUUGUAUAAAAAUGAUAAGUGUGAAGUGGAUGCACCCAAAUCUUUGUGCAUGUACCCCAGAUAAAAAAAAAAAAAAAAAAAAAAAAAAAACAGGUUCUGCAAAUUACAGAGAAUUUGCAGCUUCUAGUGAGUUACACUAGGCCAUCUAUACUAUAUAUUGCCCCAUCCAACAAAAAAUAUUUUAUUUGGCCUAAACAAAGUAAAUUACGGACAUAUAAUAAAAGCAUAUCCAAUAAACUAACGCAAGAGGACAUAAAAAUCUGAAAUAGAUUAUUUCAAUCUUUUUCCAAUUAUAUUCCACACGUUUUGCCAUUUAUCAUAAAAUUAGUUAGAUAUUAUCCACUCUAUCAAUCUUUCCUAAAGAAAUAAAAAGAAUUAAUAAAGCAUUGUUAAAGCAUAUCAAUGAACAUGAUCAAAUAAACUAAAUUUUCUAUGAAACUCAUAUUAUUAUUAUUAUUAUUUAUACAUACAGUUCUAAAAGAGAAGCACCGUAAAAUUUGUAAAAUAAAUCUUACUUUCUUUUAACUUUUUCCCCUUUGUUUAGAAAUCAAACUUUCUUGGGACCAAAAUUUUACUUUAUUAUUUUUUGGGAGCCAAGUCAAAAAGGUAGGUUAGAGAGCAGAAUGUGUGAGUGUGAGAGAGAGAUUUAUUGAAAGGUAAAUCAACAGACAACUUGUGAUUAAGCUUUCAUUUCAUUUUUAAUUGUUCUUUAAUUGUUACUACUCUUGAUUUUUCAUUUCGUAAGCUACACAUAGAUUCAUUCAUUCAUUCAAUGUUAGAUAUAGAUAUAUACAAGGUUGUUAUGACGCGAUACCCCAUCUGUUUGAAAAAAUUACUCAACGAACCGGUGAAUACCCAUAAAUAUAAUUGGUGACUGAAUAUACACUUUAAGACUUAAAGAAGCAAGAUUUGAAAUCUAAAAUUGUUGUUUUAACCUUUUAAGACUUGAAGAAGCAAGACUUGAUGAUACUAAAAACUUAAAGAAGCAAGACUUGAAAAAGCAAACCUGGACACUGUGGCUCGAAGUCUUGAGAAGAUUUUGUGGAGUAUUAGCAGGCAGUGGCAGGGUAUUGUGGUGGUGGGUAGCUAGCACGGCUGUCAAUUUUGGUGGUUGGUUGGCUAGUGAUGGCGCGGUGCCACGUCGGUGACUUAUGACAGCGGAGAGAGGCUUGACGCGGUGACGCAUGAUGGAAGCUUGACACAGUGACACUUGAUGGAGGCUUGAAGCAGUGACACUUGAUGGAGGCUUGACGGCGUGACGGAAAGGCUUGACGUGGUGAUAUAAAAGCGAGAGAUCUGAGCCGGUGUUGGAGCACUGGAUCGAGAGUAGCGGCGCUCUCUCUCUUUCAAAGUAUUGUAAUGUUAAUUGUUAAGUACUUAGGGUUUGUUUUUGCGUCUUGUGAGUGUGUGGGGUGAGGUGUCAUGUGUGAAUGUGUGCGUGUGUUUUUGUUUUUAUUUUUUUUAACAGUUUGUGAUACCUUAGUGUCAUUAUGAAAAAUUAUAAUGGCUUUUGUUUAAAACUUAAAAGCUUAAUUUUUAUAGGUCUUGGGUUCGAGUUUUAUCGGGAACAAUAUCAUAAUUACUUUAAUUUUUUUACAGAUACCUUAGUGUCAGUAAUCUCUGAUGUUUAAAUUAGAGACACCAUAGUAUUAAUAUUUUGUGAUACUUGUAUGUUAAACACGGAAAAUGAUCCAUAUAUAUGUAAAUACUGAUACUUUUUGAUAAAGUGUCACGAACUAAGUAUUAGUAAAAACCAUUUUUCUAGUAGUGUUAGUAUCAUUCUUUUUAGAUUAAUAUAAUUAAUUGCAAAUAUUUUUUAUGUGUACCGCAGUGCUAGAGUAUGAAAAGGAAAUUUGAAUUUCACUAUAUAUUUAAAAAAAAAAAAAAGAAAUUAAUAGCCUUAACAUAUGCAUUACAUCAAGGUAAAUAUAGAAGCUAAAUAUACUAACAAAAGCAAAACAUACAUUUAAUUCCUCUCAUAAACACCGUACUAAUUAAUUAAAGUUGUGUGAUAAACGAAACAAACUUAUUGAUCAACUCUACAGCUUUUUCACAUUUAAGGUUGUCGAAAUAGAAGCUAUGCCCUUCGCCGUGAGUCUCAACAAGCUCCACCGUUCCUUUCCACCCACUUUUCUUCAAGUCUUCGUAGUAAUUCAUAGCCACGGGUUUCAAAAAAUCUUUCUCAGCCACAAAUAUCAAAACCCUCUCACACCCAAGCCUGGCCAGAUCCUCUGCGGGCGGUUUCAGCCGAGGAUCCUGCAACCCUCCGUUUGUUGGAC